rnacentral:lncRNA from 1 species
AACGCCUCAGCACACGCCCUGCCCAAGCUCUUCUUCCAGCCCAAAUCCCCAGCCAGCAGCAGCACAAGACAUCUAUCCAGCAAUGGCGUCCACCUCCUGCUUCCUCCACCAGUCCACCGCCCGCCUCGCCGCCUCCGCCCGCCCCUCCGCCGCCCGCACCCAGAUCCUCGUCUGCAAGGCCCAGCAGCACGACUCCUCCGACGCCGCCACCACCCGCCGCGCCGCCCUCUCCCUCCUCGCCGGCGCCGCCGCCGCCGCCUCCCUCAAGGUCUCCCCCGCCUCCGCCGCCUACGGCGAAGCCGGUACGUAACAGAGAUCUUACCCGCCGUUUGGUCCCAACAGAUCUCUCUCUAAUUUGGUUGAUUUCUCUGUAUGUGCAGCGAAUGUGUUUGGGAAGCAGAAGAGCACGGAGUUCGUGGCGUACAGCGGGGACGGGUUCAAGCUGAUGAUCCCGGCGAAAUGGAACCCGAGCAAGGAGCGGGAGUUCCCGGGGCAGGUGCUGCGCUACGAGGACAACUUCGACGCCACCAGCAACCUCUCCGUCAUGAUCACGCCCACACCCAAGAAGUCCAUCACCGACUACGGAUCGCCCGAGGAGUUCCUCUCCCAGGUCGGAUACCUCCUCGGCCAGCAGUCCUACGGCGGCAAGACCGACUCUGAGGUAGUACCCAUUUUCUUUCUACUUCUUUCUUCAAUCUUGAUCCAUUAGAGUGAGUGAGUGAGCGAGCGAGUUCGAUCUUAAUUGCAGGGUGGGUUUGAGUCGGACGCGGUGGCGACGGCGAACGUGCUGGAGAGCGCGGCGCCGGUGGUGGGGGGGAAGCAGUACUACAGCAUAACGGUGCUCACGAGGACGGCGGACGGGGACGAAGGGGGGAAGCACCAGCUCAUCACGGCCACCGUCGCCGACGGGAAGCUCUACGUCUGCAAGGCGCAGGCCGGGGACAAGAGGUGGUUCAAGGGCGCAAAGAAGUUCGUCGAGAACGCAGCCGGUUCAUUCAGCGUCGCUUAAAAGGAAUUCAUAUAUAUCCUGUUCGUACGUCGAAUUUGCUCAGGGAUGCACACCAUUUAAGUGUAGAAGAGAUAUGUCGAGCAUACUGUAAGAGUGUGUUUCUUUGAUUUGUACAUGAGAAGGUCAGAGGUCGAUUUAAUUCCCUCAAGGAUUUAUGCAUGCAUGUAUGGACAAUAAUGCUGCCUAAGAAAUCGUAGUUAUAAUAUGUUUCGGUUUUUGUACCUAGCUAACCAUGUCUGUAACUGCAGGUAAAUAACCAGCUAGGGAUCUAAAUUUUUGAUACAGGGGACGCAUAGGGAGCAAUGUCUGCUCCCUUGUCCUGCGGCGACGAGCUAAAGUUGCGGCCUUCAUGGAACUAAACUUGCCAGUUACCCGACGUUGAGUGACGGCUUCUAGAAACACCACAUAACGUUUAGUGGCGGCGGCUUUUUCAACCAAAACUAAUGUACCCUUUAGUGAGCCUUCAAUCACCGGUUUGAAAACAACCGGUCUGGAGUCACCAAUCUGAACAGAAAACACCUCUUACUUCUUCCUUUCUUCUCAUAAGUUGUGUUCUUUGUAUUGCUCUCACAAUGACAGUCACACCACUGGGGUUGUGGGGGCUAGGGUUUUCUUUUCUCUCUUCUACAAAGAGAGUAAUAUCAGCCGUUGGAUAGGGCUGAGAUCAACGGUUCACGUGAACUGGGCUUUUGGGUUUCAUUAGGCUGCAGCUCACCACCUCCAUAUCAAGGAAUCAGUCCAACACGUUUCUAUUGUACCCUUUAACUAUAGUGGAACUUAAUUUAGAGGGAAAAGUUCCUUUGGUUGGUGUGUUUCUUGGUGACACAUGCAACCUAUCAAAUGUGGACAGGAAUUGGCUUGCCAAUUUUUUUGUCAAAUUCCUCAACCCUUAUUUGUAUAUUAUUUGCAAGGAUUUGUGAAAGACAUGAAAGUGGUCUACGCUGUGGACCAAAAUUUUGACAACGCCGAACAAAAGCUAAAAAAUAUUGGUUGCUAAUUUUUUGGCAUGGCUAGCUUAGACACCAAUUAAACACACAUAAAACAAGGAGGUGAGUCGGGCCAGAACCGGCCGGCAAGCGAACCAACCUAGUAGAGGGAGAGGGAGCUGUCUAGCUAGCUGAUGAUGUCGCCUAGAGGGGGGGUGAAUAGACAUUUAAAACUUUUACAGAUUUGGCUCUUUAUAUCCUAAAUGCGGAAUUAAACUAGUCGGAUAUUUUCAAACACAAAUCCUAAAUAUGCUAGGCUCAACAAUAGUGCACCAACAAUAAAAGCUAAAGCAAGAUGAGCACUUAAUAAACAACAAGCUAGCACAACAUAUAAGAUAGCACAAAGCACAUGUAAAAUAAUAUAUGACUUCAAGCACGAUGGCUAUCACAAAUUAAAGCACAAGUGAAAGAACUCGGUUUAGGAAUACCGAGGCACGCGGAGACGGUGAUUUAUCCCGAUGUUCACUUCCUAAGAAGCUAAUCACCGUUGGAGAGGUGCGGGCACCACAAGAGGUAACCCCAAUAGCCGUGAAAGGGCACACCCAACUCCUUGAGCCUUUCACACCAAAGUAGGAGCUCAAUCACUAAGAUGGCUAGCUUCUUCCUCCACUCCGGAGAUGGCAAGCUCCACAACCAAUUCACAAAGCACCACAAAGGAGAACCUCGGGCCUCUUCACAAUCUCCACGAAGAGGUCACCGGGGCAACAACCACUAAGCCGUCUAGGAGGACCUCCAAGAGUAACAAGCUCACAGGCUCUCACUCGAACUAAUCAAGGUGGAGAGCUCAAAUCAAUGCACCAAAUGCAAAGCAAGAACACAGGAAAUUCUCAAAUCACUCUCUCCCAAAUCUCACCCAAAUCAACAAAUGGAUUGGAGAAAAUAGAGAGGAGGAACAAGGAGGAGAUCAACAAAUGAACCCUUCAAAUAGAUCUACAAACUCCCUUCAAAUGGAUGGAAGAUUUGGGGCUUGGGGGAGGUGGAGAAAGAUCUCAAAGAAUGGGGAUUUUCGGCUCUUGGAACCCUAGACCCGAUGGGGAAGAAGACCCCUAUUUAUAGGGCCCCCAAAAUCUGCCCGUUAGACACAGAUUUUGCGACCCGGAGGCAAUCCUGGAGGCUCCGGGAUUCAUUCCGGACCAAACCCGAAGCUACUGGACGCACCCGGAGGCAAUCCCGGAGGUUCCGGAGUUAAAUCCGGCUGCCCAAAACUACAGCACAACACACACGAAAACGGCGAUAACUUUUGCAAACGAACUCCGAUUUUGAUGAACUUGGUCUCGUUUCGAAGAAGACAACGAACUCUACAUUUUAACACAGAAAACCAGCAAAGGUCAACCAAAAGAGAUGAUGCAAAAUAUGCAAGGUUUGAGCACUCUACGCACGACGUGUUCAAGUUACCGCCCGGAAGCCCCUCUUGAUAGAAUGGCUAUCGAAACUAUAAACCGGUCUCCCACCAAACUCCUUGAGACCGGUAAAACUAGGAAAACCUAGCUAGAAUAUACCUUUGCCUUGAGCAAUCCACUUUAGGUUGAUGUAGGCGUCAAUGCUCGUCUCAAGUUUGAAUCCAUCGCUUGAUCAUGGUCACUUGGUGAAGAUACUCAAUUUGCUCCCCAAUACUCCAAUGUGGGAAAUCUUCACUUUAAGCUCAUCUUUACAUGUCCAUUAUCACCAAAUGGAUGGCAAGAUUCAAGCAUAUAUCUGUUGGAAAUAUGCCCUAGAGGCAAUAAUAAAUUUGUUAUUAUCAUAUUUCAUUGUUCUUGAUAAAUGUUUAUUGCAUAUGCUAUAAUUGUAUUGAUUGGAAACUCAAAUACAUGUGUGGAUAAAUAAACAAAUACCGUGUCCCUAAUACGCCUCUACUAGAUUAGCUCGUUGAUUAAAGAUGGUUAAGGUUUCCUAACCAUAGACAUGUGUUGUCAUUUAAUAACGAGGUCAUAUCAUUAGGAGAAUGAUGUGAUGGACAGACCCAAACCUAAACAUAGCUUUUGAUCGUGUCACUUAAGUUUAAGUUGCUUAUGUUUUAUUAUGUCAAGUAUUAUUUCUUUAGACCAUGAGAUCAUGCCACUCCCUAGUACCGGAAGAAUACUUUGUGGGCAUCAACCGUCAUCUCGUAACUGGGUGAUCAUAAAGGUGUUUUUCAGGUAUCCCAGAAGGUGCUUGUUGGGUUGUAUGGAUCAAGACUGGGAUUUGUCACUCCUUGUGACGGAGAGAUAUCUCUGGGCCCUCUCGGUAAUAUAACAUCCUAAUGAGCUUGCAAGCAUGUGACUAAUGUGUUUAGUUGCGGGGGUAUUAUAUUACGGAACGAGUAAAGAGAACUUGCCGAUAACGAGAUUAAACUAGGUAUGGCGAUACCGACGAUCAAAUCUCGGGCAAGUAAUAUAUCGCGAGACAAAGAGAAUUGGAUACUGGAUUAAUUGAAUCCUCGACAUAGUGGUUCAACCGAUGAGAUCUUCGUGGAAUAUGUGGGAACUAUUAUGGACAUCCAGGUCCCGCUAUUGGUUAUUGAUAUUUGAUCAUGUCCACAUGUUCUCGAACCCGUAGGGUCACACACUUAACGUUUCAUGUUGCUUGGGUUAGAUGAGAUAAAUGAUGAUGAUAUCGAAUUAUGAUUCGGAGUCUUGGAUGGGAUCCUAGACGCAACGAGGAGCUCCGGAAUGUUCCGGAGAUAAAGAUUUAUAUAUGGAAAGUUGUUUUCAGGGUUCUGGAAAGUUUGGAAUAUUUCCCGGUUUUGACCGGGAAGCUUCUAGAAGGUUCCGGAGGGAUCCGGAGGGUUCCACCUUGAGGCCCACCUAUCCCUGGGCUAAAUGGGCCUGUGAGGGAGCACCCUGGCCUUAAUGGGCCGAGGGGCUAGCCCACAGGGCCCAUGCGGCCAGGAGGAGAGUCCUGGCCGCGGGAGAGUCCUGGCCGCAUGAGAGUCCUGGCCGCCGGAGAGUCCUGGCCGCGGGAUAGUCCUGGCCGGCCACGCCUCCUCUACCCCUAUAUAAAUAGAAGGGGGGGCAAGGGAGAGAGACACCCCAAGCUUUCAGUUGGAUCUCUCUCCCCUGAGCCCUCCUCUCCUCCUCUUCUCACGCGCACGGCGUAGCCCUGCCCGUGAGAAUAUUCACCAUAGUCACCAUGCCGUCGUGCUGUCGGGAUCUCGUCUACCUCUCCCUCUCGCUUGCUGGAUCGAGGAAGGAGGAGAUAACGUGAAGCUGAACGUGUGGAUACCAAGGAGGUGCUGUCCGUUCGGCACUGAGAUUGAUCUCAUUGAAAGUUCCACUACACCAACAACGAUCUCGUGAUCGUAACGCUUAGCGGUCUACGAGGGUAUGGUGUUCAUGAUCCCUCUCGUUACAUACAUCUAGUAUAUAUAUUCUUGGGUUUCUUCCGCACUUCUCGUAGGAAAAUUUUUGUUUCCUAUGCAACGAACCCAUCAGUGGUAUCAGAGCUAGAUCUAUGCGUAGAUGUUUUGUACGAGUAGAACACAAUUUAGUUGUGGGCGUUGAUGUUCAUAUUGCUACCUCCUUUGUGCACUAUCGGAUUUUGCGGGAUAGUGGGAUGAAGCGGUUCGGACCAACCUUACUUGUCUUCGCACAAGAGACCGGUUCCGCAAUUAACAUGCAACUUGUAUUGCAUAAGGCGGCUGGCGGGUGUCUGUCUCUCCCACUAUAGUUGAAAUCUGAUUUGCAAUGGGAGGCCUAUAUGGUUAAUAAGCAAUUUGUAUAUCACCGUUGUGGCUUUUGCGUAAGUAAGAACGGUUCUUUUAGUGCAGCCCCUAAAGCCACGUAAAACAUGCAACAACAAAGUAGAAGCGUCUAACUUGUUUUUGCAGGGGCAUGUGAUGUGGUAUGGCCAAGAUAUGAUAUAAUAUAUUUGAUGUAUGAGAUGAUCAUGUUUUGUAAUAUUUCACGACUUGCAUGUCGAUGAGUUUGGCAACCGGCAGGAGCCGUAUGGUUGUCUCAUUAAUUAUUGUAUGACCUUCGUGUCAAUGAUUUAAUCGCCAUGUAAUUGCUUUACUUUAUCGCUAGUAGUAGCAAUAGUCGUAGUAGUAAUAGUUGGUGGAGGCAACUAUACAUGACGCCCGAGGACCUAGGCGCCAUGCUGGUGAUGAUGGAGAUCAUGCCCGUGCUUUGGAGAUGGAGAUCAAAGGCACACGAAGAGAAGGCCAUAUCAUGUCACAUUAUUUAUGCAUGUGAUGUUUAUCCCUUUUAUGCAUCUUAUUUUGCUUAGUUGACGGUAGCAUUAUAAGAUGAUCCCUCAUUGUUAAUAUCAAGAUAAUAAUGUGUUCUCCCUUAGUAUGCACCGUUGCAAAAGUUCGUCGUUUUGAAGCACCACGUGAUGAUCGGGUGUUAUAAACUCUACGUUCGCAUACAACGGGUGUAAGCCAGUUUUACACAUGCAGGAAUACUUUGGUUAACUUGACGAGCCUAGCAUGUACAGACAUGGCCUCGGAACACAAGGAACCGAAAGGUUAAACAUGAGUCAUAUGAAUGAUGUGAUCAACAUGCUGAUGUUUACCAUUGAAGCUACUCCAUCUCACGUGAUGAUCGGACUUGGUGUAGUGGAUUUGGAUCAUGUGUCACUAAACAACCCGAGGGAUGUUGAUUUUAGUGGGAGUUCAUUAGUAAUUUGAUUAGCUUGAACUUAUUAUCAUGAACUUAGUCUAAUUGCCUUUGCAAAUAUACUGUAGAUCAAUGGCUCGUACUACGUUCAAUAUGAAUACUCUCCUAGAGAAAGAUAAACUGAAGUCCAAUGGAAGCAACUUUACGGACUGGUUCCGGAAUGUGAGGAUUAUCCUCGAAGCUGCCAAAAAGGCUUAUGUUUUUGAUGCAGCGCUUGGUGCAGAACCCGCAACAACUGAGUCUGCUGACGUUAGGAACGUUUGGCUGACUCAAUCUGAGGACCACAAUGUAGUUAGGUGCGGCCUCUUGCUUGGUAUGGAACCUGAGCUCCAAAAGCGUUUUGAGCACCACUCGGCAUAUGCUAUGAUUGGGGAACUGAAUACUUUAUUUCAGACCCAAGCCCGUGCGGAGAGGUAUGAUGCCUCCGAAAGGUUCUUUAACUGCAAGAUGGAGGAGAACAGCUCCGUUAGCGAGCACGUGCUCAGAAUGUCUGGGUACGCCGACCGCCUGAGACAACUGGGAAUUGAGAUUCCUAAUGAAUUAGGCAUUGACCGGGUUCUUCAGUCACUACCACCUAGCUAUAAAAGUUUUGUGGUGAACUACAAUAUGCAAGGGAUGGAUAGGACACUUCCUCAGCUCCUCGCGAUGUUAAAAACUGCAGAGAUGGAAAUCAAAAAGGAGCAUCAAGUGUUGAUGGUCAAUAAGACCACCAGUUUCAAGAAGGCAAAGGGUAAGAAGGGAAAUUUCAAGAAGGGUGGCAAAACUGUUGCCACUCCCGCGAAGAAGCCCAAAUCUGGACCUAAGCCGGAUACUGAGUGCUUCUACUGCAAGGGAACUGGCCACUGGAAGCGUAACUGCCCCAAGUACUUGGCAGAUAAGAAGGCUGGCAACGUCAAAGGUAUAUUUGAUAUACAUGUUAUUGAUGUGUACCUUACUAGUACUCGUAGUAGCACCUGGGUAUUUGAUACUGGUUCAGUUGCUCACAUUUGUAACUCGAAACAGGAGCUACAGAAUAAACGAAGACUAGCAAGAGAUGAGGUGACUAUGCGCGUCGGGAAUGGAUCAAAAGUUGAUGUGAUCGCCGUCGGCACGCUCCCUCUACAUUUAUCUUCGGGAUUAGUUUUAAACCUUAGUAAUUGUUAUUUGGUGCCUGCGUUGAGCAUGAACAUUAUAUCAGGAUCUUGUUUAAUGCAAGACGGUUAUUCAUUUAAAUCAGAGAAUAAUGGUUGUUCGAUUUAUAUGAGUAAUAUCUUUUAUGGUCAUGCACCACUUGUGAAUGGUUUAUUUCUAUUAAGUCUCGAUAGUAGUGACACACAUAUUCAUAAUGUUAAUGCCAAAAGGUGCAAAGUGGAUAAUGAUAGUUCAACAUAUUUGUGGCACUGCCGUCUAGGUCAUAUUGGUAUAAAACGCAUGAAGAAACUCCAUUCUGAUGGACUACUUGAAUCACUUGAUUUUGAAUCAUUUGAUACAUGUGAACCAUGCCUCAUGGGUAAGAUGACUAGAAUCCCGUUUUCAGGCUUAAUGGAACGGGCCAGUGACUUGUUGGAGAUCAUACAUACUGAUGUGUGCGGACCAAUGAGUGUUACAACGUGCGGUGGAUAUCGUUACUUCCUAACCUUCACAGAUGAGUUGAGUAGAUAUGGGUAUAUUUACUUAAUGAAAAACAAGUCUGAGACAUUUGAGAAAUUCAAGGAAUUUCAGAAUGAAGUGGAGAAUCAUCGUAACAAGAAAAUUAAAUUUCUACGAUCGGAUCGUGGAGGUGAAUAUUUGAGUUACGAGUUUGGCACGCAUUUAAGACAAUGUGGAAUUGUUUCACAACUUACGCCGCCUGGAAUACCACAACGCAAUGGUGUGUCCGAACGUCGUAAUCGUACUUUAUUGGAUAUGGUACGGUCUAUGAUGUCUCUUACUGAUUUGCCACUGUCGUUUUGGGGUUAUGCAUUAGAGACAGCCGCAUUCACUUUAAAUAGGGCACCAUCUAAAUCCGUUGAAACGACACCGUAUGAAUUAUGGUUUGGCAAGAAACCUAAGCUGUCCUUUCUUAAAGUUUGGGGAUGCGAAGCUUAUGUAAAAAGGCUACAACCUGAUAAGCUCGAACCCAAGUCGGAAAAAUGCGUCUUCAUAGGAUACCCUAAAGAAACAAUUGGGUACACCUUCUAUCACAGAUCCGAAGGAAAAGUGUUUGUCGCUAAGAACGGGUCCUUUCUAGAGAAGGAGUUUCUCUCGAAAGAAGUGAGUGGGAGGAAGGUAGAGCUCGAUGAGGUUAUUGAACCUUCUCUCGAAUUUGAGUGUAGCGCAGCACCAGAAACUGUUCCCGUGCAUCCUGCAUCAGCUAGAGAGGAAGCUAAUGAUAAUGAUCAUGAAGUUUUGAAUGAGACAACUACUGAACUUCACAGGUCGACGAGAACACGUAAUACUCCUGAGUGGUACAAUGUUCGUGUCAUGAAUGUCAUGUUGUUGGACAACGAUGAACCUGCGAAUUAUGAGGAAGCAAUGAUGAGCCCAGACUCCGAAAAAUGGUUAGAAGCCAUGAAAUCCGAAAUGGGAUCCAUGUAUGAAAACCAAGUAUGGACUUUGGUAGACUUACCGAAUGACCGAAAGGCCGUUGAGAACAAAUGGAUUUUCAAGAAGAAAACAGAUGCUGAUGGAAAUGUUACCGUCUAUAAAGCUCGACUUGUCGCAAAAGGUUUUCGACAAAUUCAAGGAGUUGACUACGAUGAGACUUUCUCACCCGUAGCGAUGCUAAAGUCUGUUCGGAUUAUGUUAGCAAUUGCUGCAUUUUUCGAUUACGAAAUUUGGCAGAUGGAUGUCAAAACCGCGUUCCUUAAUGGUCACAUUGAGGAAGAGUUAUACAUGGUUCAGCCCAAAGGUUUUGUCGAUCCUAAGGAUGCUAAUAAGGUAUGCAAACUUCAGCGUUCCAUUUAUGGGCUCAAGCAAGCAUCUCGGAGUUUGAAUCUCCGUUUUGAUAAGGUGAUCAAAGGGUUUGGAUUUGUCCAAACUCACGGAGAAGCUUGUAUUUACAAGAAAGUGAGUGGGAGCUCUGUAGCAUUUCUAAUACUGUAUGUGGAUGACAUAUUGCUGAUUGGGAAUGAUAUAGAAUUUCUUAAAAGUGUUAAAGGCUAUUUGAAUAAAAGUUUUUCAAUGAAAGACCUUGGUGAAGCAGCUUACAUAUUAGGCAUCAAGAUUUAUAGAGAUAGAUCAAGACGCCUGAUAGGACUUACACAAAGUACAUACCUUGACAAAGUUUUGAAAAGGUUCAAAAUGGAUCAAGCAAAGAAAGGGUUCUUGCCCAUGUUGCAAGGUAAGACAUUGAGUAAGACUCAGUGUCCAGCUUCGGCAGAAGAUAGAGAAAAGAUGAAUAGUAUCCCCUAUGCCUCAGCCAUAGGCUCUAUUAUGUAUGCCAUGCUGUGUACUAGACCAGACGUGUGUCAUGCUGUUAGUUUGACUAGCAGGUACCAAAGUGAUCCAGGAGUGGAACACUGGACAGCAGUUAAGAAUAUCCUUAAGUACCUAAAAAGGACUAAAGAAAUGUUUCUCGUUUAUGGAGGUGACGAACAGCUCGUCGUAAAGGGUUACGUCGAUGCUAGUUUUGACACUGAUCCGGAUGACUCUAAGUCUCAAUCCGGAUACGUAUUUAUUUUGAAUGGUGGUGCAGUUAGCUGGAGGAGUUCCAAGCAGAGCGUUGUGGCAGCAUCAACAACUGAAGCGGAAUAUGUGGCUGCUUCAGAAGCGGCACAGGAAGGAGUUUGGAUGAAGGAGUUCAUAUCUGAACUUGGUGUGGUUCCGAGUGCGUUGGAUCCCAUGGACAUCUAUUGUGAAAACACUGGUGCCAUAGCCAACGCCAAGGAGCCGAGGUCUCACAAGAAUUCCAAGCAUAUUAAACGCCGGUUUCACACUAUUCGUGAAUAUGUCAAGGAUGGUGACAUAAAGAUUUGCAAAGUACAUACGGAUCUGAAUGUCGCAGACCCGUUGACUAAACCUCUUCCACGAGCAAAACAUGAUCAACACCAAGACUCCAUGGGUGUUAGAUUUAUUACAAUGUAAACUAGAUUAUUGACUCUAGUGCAAGUGGGAGACUGUUGGAAAUAUGCCCUAGAGGCAAUAAUAAAUUUGUUAUUAUCAUAUUUCAUUGUUCUUGAUAAAUGUUUAUUGCCCAUGCUAUAAUUGUAUUGAUUGGAAACUCAAAUACAUGUGUGGAUAAAUAAACAAAUACCGUGUCCCUAAUACGCCUCUACUAGAUUAGCUCGUUGAUUAAAGAUGGUUAAGGUUUCCUAACCAUAGACAUGUGUUGUCAUUUAAUAACGAGGUCAUAUCAUUAGGAGAAUGAUGUGAUGGACAGACCCAAACCUAAACAUAGCUUUUGAUCGUGUCACUUAAGUUUAAGUUGCUUAUGUUUUAUUAUGUCAAGUAUUAUUUCUUUAGACCAUGAGAUCAUGCCACUCCCUAGUACCGGAAGAAUACUUUGUGGGCAUCAACCGUCAUCUCGUAACUGGGUGAUCAUAAAGGUGUUUUUCAGGUAUCCCAGAAGGUGCUUGUUGGGUUGUAUGGAUCAAGACUGGGAUUUGUCACUCCUUGUGACGGAGAGAUAUCUCUGGGCCCUCUCGGUAAUAUAACAUCCUAAUGAGCUUGCAAGCAUGUGACUAAUGUGUUUAGUUGCGGGGGUAUUAUAUUACGGAACGAGUAAAGAGAACUUGCCGAUAACGAGAUUAAACUAGGUAUGGCGAUACCGACGAUCAAAUCUCGGGCAAGUAAUAUAUCGCGAGACAAAGAGAAUUGGAUACUGGAUUAAUUGAAUCCUCGACAUAGUGGUUCAACCGAUGAGAUCUUCGUGGAAUAUGUGGGAACUAUUAUGGACAUCCAGGUCCCGCUAUUGGUUAUUGAUAUUUGAUCAUGUCCACAUGUUCUCGAACCCGUAGGGUCACACACUUAACGUUUCAUGUUGCUUGGGUUAGAUGAGAUAAAUGAUGAUGAUAUCGAAUUAUGAUUCGGAGUCUUGGAUGGGAUCCUAGACGCAACGAGGAGCUCCGGAAUGUUCCGGAGAUAAAGAUUUAUAUAUGGAAAGUUGUUUUCAGGGUUCUGGAAAGUUUGGAAUAUUUCCCGGUUUUGACCGGGAAGCUUCUAGAAGGUUCCGGAGGGAUCCGGAGGGUUCCACCUUGAGGCCCACCUAUCCCUGGGCUAAAUGGGCCUGUGAGGGAGCACCCUGGCCUUAAUGGGCCGAGGGGCUAGCCCACAGGGCCCAUGCGGCCAGGAGGAGAGUCCUGGCCGCGGGAGAGUCCUGGCCGCAUGAGAGUCCUGGCCGCCGGAGAGUCCUGGCCGCGGGAUAGUCCUGGCCGGCCACGCCUCCUCUACCCCUAUAUAAAUAGAAGGGGGGGCAAGGGAGAGAGACACCCCAAGCUUUCAGUUGGAUCUCUCUCCCCUGAGCCCUCCUCUCCUCCUCUUCUCACGCGCACGGCGUAGCCCUGCCCGUGAGAAUAUUCACCAUAGUCACCACGCCGUCGUGCUGCCGGGAUCUCGUCUACCUCUCCCUCUCGCUUGCUGGAUCGAGGAAGGAGGAGAUAACGUGAAGCUGAACGUGUGGAUACCAAGGAGGUGCUGUCCGUUCGGCACUGAGAUUGAUCUCAUUGAAAGUUCCACUACACCAACAACGAUCUCGUGAUCGUAACGCUUAGCGGUCUACGAGGGUAUGGUGUUCAUGAUCCCUCUCGUUACAUACAUCUAGUAUAUAUAUUCUUGGGUUUCUUCCGCACUUCUCGUAGGAAAAUUUUUGUUUCCUAUGCAACGAACCCAUCAAUAUCUUCUCGGGAUACUUAUAUUGAGCUUGCCCUUUGUCAAUCUUGAAGUCCGUCUCCAUAUGGGCUAUAUAAGAUUGUUUCUUUAAACCUCACCCAUAUGUAUCACCUAAUCCUCAACCAAAUAACAUAGACAUAAUAUUGGUUAGUCUAUAAGUGUAAUAUACAAUUGCUUACCAUAUGAUUCAUGUAUAUAAUCCUCGGAGUGCUUUUCUUGAACUUGCUCUUCUCAACCACUAGAUCACACCCCAUCAUUUAUGCUUGUGUGUUGACCAAUAACUUGAAUCCGCUCUUUGCACUUCAUUUCGGUCAACCUUCAUAUUUGCUUCACUUUCCAUCUUUAUGAUAUCUUCAAGCCAAUAAUGAACUCUUCACUUAACCUUCAUUGCUUCAAGACUUAAUCACCAAAUGCACUCUCAUGACCAUACAUGGGAUUCACCAUGAAUAUCACUUUGGUCUUCUUUAUUCUCUAUCGCAAUAUCUUGAGACACAUAAUGGAUUAUUCACUUGAGUUCUUGCUCCAUAACCUUGUCAUGAAGCCAUAUCUUGAAUCCUUAUCUUGUAAUCAUUAUCUCAAGAUCUUAAUCUUCAUGAGAAACUUCACUUUCUUCUUCUUGAUAAUAUUUGAUUCGCCCAUUGAAACCCAAUAACUUCAUACCUUCAAUUCAAUAUACGUUUCUUACUAGCAUUCCUUGAAUUAAAGCUCAAUGCAAACAACUUAUGCAAAAGGAUUGUCAUCGGAUACCAAAACCACACAUCCAAUUGUUAACAACUCAAUAUAUAUCUUUAUCUUCAUAACAUUUAUAAUUGAAUUAACCAAGUGAUCUUCGUUCAUUGCCUAUGAAACAUUCCUUCAAAUAUAUCUCAACUAAAACAUUAGUCCAUAGGGAUUGUCAUUAAUUACCAAAACCACACAUGGGGCAACAUGCACUUUCACCUGUGUCUUGUCACUUGUUACUAGAAAAAUGGAUUUAAUGAUCACACGGACACGGUAAAAUUAGUCGCACCCGUGGCGAAAGUGAAGGAAAGAUAGUUCUUUGUGAGGUGUUGCAGGGAAAGAGAAGUACUUCAGGAGCGGCAAGAGAACACACAUACUCCAUGGUAUCUAGCGUCAGUACUGCCUCUCAUCUUCUUCCUUGUUUCCUUGCUUCGGUAGCAGCUGGUUGAUCAGACGAGAUGUUCGAAGGCGGCGACACUGGUGCGCGGCAGACACAGCCCACGAUGGGCUAUUCCGAUCGGUCUCUGAAUAUGAUACAAGCUAUAAACGAUUCCAUGUUUGUUGAAUUUCUUUAAUCUUGUGCUACACAACGCUCGGCGUCGUCAUCGUCGUGGUGCUAGGCGCAUUCGUCGUGGCGGCUAUCUUUUACAUGCAUAGAUGUGCAAACUUGUGUUCCAAGAGAUCGCGCUUCGCGGGCGGGUCAACGGUGGCGGCAGUGGUGGCGACGACGACGACGAUGCAAGACUACAUGGUGGUGCCCUUGUGCCGUGAUUCAGGAACACCUAUUGAUUUCUGAUCGGCCAACCAAUCCUUGCAGAACUCGAUGCACUCUUCUGCCCUAAAGCCUUCCACGAUGCUACCUUCCGCACGCGAUCUGUUACGAACGUAGCGCUUCAUAACCUCGUUGUAUCGUUCAGGGCCAUACAUGUUAUGCAGGAACGAGGGCCCUAGGGACAAGAUCUCAUCACAUAUGUGGAUCAUUAGAUGGACCAUGAUAUCGAAGAAUGAUGGAGGGAAGAACAUCUCGAGUUCGCACAAAAUCUGUAUCAUACUAUCCUGCAGUAUCUGGCAUCGUCUAACGGUGAUUGACUUCCGCGAGAUGCUGUCAAAGAAGUCAGAAAUCUUCUCCUUCGGUGCUGUCCCGUGCUCCGUCUUCCCAUUGAACCUUUCCUUGUCAUCCCUCCAAGGGUCUUUAGCAUCCAACCAUUUUCGGUGGCCCAUGUAAACAAUUUUGGAUGAAGCGGGCAACUUCUCUAAUGUCGUGUUUUCCCCGCACUUUGUACAGGCCUUGUAGUCAUGUGUCACCUGGCAUGAAGUAUUUUCAUUCGCGGGGUAGUCAUGCACGCAGGUCAAAAGCGCUGCUCUCAUCGUGAAGUACUCCCUCCUGUUUGCGUCCCAAACCACUCUGCCAGGGUUCCAAAGCUGCUUCAGCUCAUCCUUCACUAGCUGCAGAUACACAUUUAUGUCAGCUCCUGGCUGCUUUGGACCCUGUAUGAGCAUGCACAUGUGGAUGUAUUUUCUCUUCAUGAUUAACCAUGGAGGAAGGUUGUAAACAAACAAGAUCACUGGCCAUGUGUUGUGCUUGUUGUUCAUGUUUCUGAAAGGAUUUAUCCCGUCAGUGUCGAGACCGACCUCAGGUUUCUGGGCACUACCCCAAAAUCUGGAAAUGCCGUGUCGAAGUUCCUCCACUGAGUCCCAUCGGCGGGGUGUCUGAGGACCUCAGCUUCCUCCACACGGUAGUGCUCGUCAAGAUCGAAUGCUGCCUGCGCCGGAUCAUGAUGGACGAGAUACCUCGCGUCCUUAAUGUUCUGCAUCCAACGCUCAACUCGGCCACCUGCUGUAAGAUACCAGACAGUCUUUGCCGGCCUCCCUUCAUCACUUCUUCCCCAUCGUCUUCGCCAGUUCUGGCGUUUCUCUUCUUGUAUCUCGAUGCACCGCAUAUGUGGCAGCUCUCAUGGUUCUCGUACUCUCCAAUGUAUACCAUGCAGUCGUUUGGACAUGAAUGAUGUUUCACGCAAUCUAAUCCAAGCGGGCAUGUAAUCUUCUUCGCCUCGUAUGUGCUAUUGGGCAACUUGUUUGGCUGUGGAAAAACCGAAAGCAAGGUAACUCAACAAGUCCGUGAAGCCCUUGUCUGACCAGCAUGAUGCUGCCUUCAGCCUCAAAAAUUCGAGCGUUACUUUGAGCACUUGUUUUCUUCGCCAGCUCCAUCAUACAAGGGUGUGUUUGCGUCCUCCAACAAUUUUUUGAACUGAGCAGACUCUGCCUCAUAUCGGGGUCCUCCAGCUGGUCCCGUAGGUACGGGUCAUCUAGCAUUUCGGCAAUCCUGCCACAUGGAGCUCCUUCACCUUCCACAUUAGCCUCCUCAUCGACCCUUGUUUCUUUCUCAGAAUCAUUCGCCAAAUCAUACCGCAGGACAUUAUCAUCUUCGCUAACGCUACCGACAUCAACCGCAUCCUCCUCGUGACAAGUCCAGCGUGAAUAACCUUCCACAAAACCCGAUACUAGCACGUGCAUCUGAACAUCUUCAGGCUUCAUCAUGCAUGUGUUUUCACAUUUGUGACAUUUACAACACAUCAUCACAAGUCCUUUUCGUUCCAUAUCACCUUUCGCGACUCCAAAAAAGACUGUCCAUUCGGUUAUCCAUCGAGCAUUGAUUCUUUUCGUGGCGUACAUCCAAGAACGGUCCUUUGAUCUACAACACAAUACACAAGAAAACACAAAGCUAAAUAGUUAGCCUAAUAAUUAACAAGGGGAUUAAGGUGUUAAUUAACUGAGGCUAACUAAAAAUUUGAAAUUAGGGACAUCGGAGAGAAAUUGGAGGCCGGCGAGAAAGAUCGGGAGGGAGAGAGAGCUCGCAAGGGAGAGGGAAGCUCCGGGCGACGAUGAGGAGGCCGCAUUUUGGCCGGCGGCCGGAGCUCAAAAAUUUGAAAUUGGGGAACUUCGGAGAGAAAUUGGAGGCCGGCGAGAUAGAUCGGGAGGGAGAGAGAGCGCGAAAGGGAGAGGGAAGCUUCAGGCUCGAAGAUUGGAGCUCGCCGGCCAUGGCCGCCGCCGGCCAUGGAGAUGGGGGGCGCCGGCGGGGGGAGAGAGGAGGAAGGGAGAGGGAGGAGGAGGGGCUACCUGCUAGGCUCGCUGGCGGCCAUGGCGGAUUCAGGCAGAGCUCCGCCGUCGCCGGAGAAGAAGGGGCUGCAGCUGGUCCGUUACGACGCGCCGCGCGACCAGCUGCGGCUCUGCCCCGCGUACUUAAACCGCGACGAUCAUCAGUGUCGGUCGGGACUUGGGCGAGACAUCAAUAACGGUUGGGACGAGAGUGACCGUUACUGAUAUGUACCACACAUCAGUGGCGAGCACGAUAGGGCGACCGUUACUGAUGUGUGGUUCAUCAGUAACGGUCGUCUCUUAAUCGACCGCCACUGAUGCAUCUCACAAGGAAUGAUGGUACAUCAGUGGCGGUCGCCUCGCGCGACCGUCACUGAUGUAUGGCUGGGCGGGGACGAGCAGACCCUGCUCUGUUCAUCAGUAACGGUCGCGCCGGACCCGUUACUGAUGUGCCGUGAGAUAUAGACUGUUUUGUAGUAGUGCAGCCCACGAUGGGCUAUUCCGAUCGGUCUCUGAAUAUGAUACAAGCUAGGAACGAUUCCAUGUUUGUUGAAUUUCUUUAAUUCUCUUGUGCUACGCAGCGCUCGACGUCGUCAUGGUCGUGGUGCUGGGCGCAUUCGUCGUGGCGGCUAUCUUUUACAUGUAUAGAUGUGCAAAGUCGUGUUCCAAGAGAUCGCGCUUCGCGGGCGGGUCAACGGUGGCGGUGGCGGCAGUGGUGGCGACGACGACGACAAUGCAAGACUACAUGGUGGUGCCGGACCACAUGAUGAAACACACCACCGUCGAGAGGUUCCUCGGGGAGAUUGCCGGCGAGAGACCCGUCCGGUUCACUCCGGAGCAGCUCUCGGGGUUCACGCAUAACUACUCGGCCAGGCUCGGCACCGGCGGGUUCGGCGCCGUGUACAAGGGCAUGCUCCCUAACGGCCUCCUUGUUGCCGUGAAGCGCCUCCAUGCCACCCACGACGAGAAGACCUCCCAAGGGCAGUUCAUGGCAGACGUGGGAACUAUCGGGAGGACCCACCACAUCAACCUCGUCAGGCUCUUGGGCUUCUGCUUCGGUGAUGCUGUUCUCGCCCUCGUGUACGAGUACAUGGACAACGGCGCGCUCGACGCCUACCUCUUCGACCAGGGUCAUGUUGUGAGCCUCCCUAAGCGUGACAUUGCUGUCAGCGUCGCUAGGGGCCUCCGUUACCUCCAUGAGUGUCAACAGAAGAUCAUCCACUAUGACAUCAAAGCAGGGAAUGUUUUCCUUGAUGGUAGCUUCACACCCAAGGUGGCCGACUUCGGGUUGGCACGGUCGGUGAACCGCGUGGACACACAUGUCGCGGUGUCCUGCGUUCGCGGCACCCCUGGGUAUGCUGCACCAGAAAUGUGGAUGCAAUCAGGCGUCACGGAGAAGUGUGACGUCUAUAGCUUUGGCAUGCUACUACUGGAGAUCAUCGGUCAGAGGCGGAACUUUGACCAGACCGCGCCGGAGAGCCUACAAUGGUUUCCCAAACUAGCUUGGACCAAGUAUGAAACCGGCGAGGUGAUGGAACUCAUGGUGCCACCUGUCCGCAGUGAGGAAUUACAUGGUGUCUCCGUGGCAAAUUGACGGGAGCUGGCGCAGAGGAUGUGCAAGGUGGCAUUCUGGUGUGUGCAGCAGCAGCCAUCGGCGAGACCACAAAUGAGUGCAGUGGUCAAGAUGCUUGAGGGCGAGAUGAACAUUGCCGCGCCAGCAAAUCCAUUCCAGCAUCUUAUAGCAUCGGCGACCGUGGCAGACCUAUCAACAACAAUGGAGAGCGUAAACACAGUACCAAUGCCGAUGAAUGAGACUACAACCUCAUAUCCAAGAUGUAAAUCCUUUUAGAAGCAAAGCCAGUCAAGUAUUUGACCAUGAAUCCAUAAAUUAUUACUUGCAUUAAACGUCAGAUUCGUAUUACUAGAUUUAUCGUGAAAUAUAUGUGAUUAUCUAAUGCUUAAUUAUUUUUAUGCGAGGAAACAUGUGCUUGCACGGAAAUUCGUACUCAAAGUACCAUCUUGAAGACUAUGUCAAUAUCUAAAAAGAUGCCUUCAUAGUUGCAGUAGAAGGCCUGGCACCUGAAAGUUCAGCUUUCUACUCGAACUUGGUUCAUUGUUAAUACAAUAUAAUUCAGAAGCUAAUGUUUGCAUCAAGAGUGUAAUCAUGUGUUUAAAUCCCAAAGUGCUUUGGGACGAGGUUUGUCUUUGGACACACGAUAUGACGAUACAUUGAGACUGGGGUUUUGAUUUGUCUGGAGUGUGAGUUGCCACAUUUUCAGCUUGAUAGUUGAUACAUUGAAGAAUCUAGAGAUCAAAAUCUGCAAACAGAUCACUUGCUGAUUUGACAAAGGAGUAGUUAAGACUAGGAAAUCUGCUAAUUAUUCAAUGAUUGGGAGGUUUUUAUGGUCAGUGAUUGUCGAAUCUCACCUCCUAAACCAUCUAAAUCAAGCAAAUCAGCAGAAUCGAAGAUUUAGGGUAGUGAGCAGUGAGCUGGACGGGAGAGAGAGGAAUAUCGAAGAACUGAGGCUUAUCCUCUCCGUUUUCUAUUCCAUCCCCUUUUCAUGGCUUUUACAUUUACAUUAUUCACCUUAUGACAUUCUAUAUUUACACUUAGGUACAACACAUCUCAACACUCCCCCUCAAGAUGGGGCGAAAGCGUCAUAUAGUCCCAUCUUGCUGCAUAGACUUGAGAAAUUUUUUCUUAGGCAAACCUUUUGUUAAAAUAUCAGCUAACUGAUUCGCGGAACUCACAUAAGGCAUGCCGAUCACUCCUUGAUCCAAGUUUUCCUUAAUAAAAUGUCGAUCAAUUUCAAUAUGUUUUGUUCGACCAUGUUGUACUGGGUUGUGAGCUAUAUCUAGUGCUGUCUUGUUGUCACAAUAUAGCAUCACGGGUCUCGCUUGAAACAGUCCUAGCUCCAUUAACAUGAUCCUUAGCCACAAUACUUCACAAAUUCCAUGUGCCAUUGAUCUAAAUUCUGCUUCUGCGGUAGACCUGGCAACAACAUUUUGUUUUUUACUUCGCCAAGUGACAAGAUUACCUCCCACAAACGUACAAUAACCUGAAGUUGAUUUUCUAUCAUCUAGACAGCCAGCCCAAUCAGCGUCAGUAUAGCAUUCUACUUGCAAGUUACCAUUUGAUUUAUAUAACAAUCCACGUCCUGGGCACCCUUUCAAGUAUCUAAUAAUUCUGAUUACUGCAUUCAUGUGUUGUUCCUUGGGGUCAUGCAUGAACUGACUUACAACACUCACAGCAAAAGCUAUAUCUCGUCGAGUGUGUGACAGGUAUAUUAAACGUCCUACUAAUCUUUGAUAUUGCUCACGAUCUAUAGGUUGCCCUGGUUCACAAGUCAGUCUGUGAUUUUGUUCAAUCGGAGUAGAAGCUGGACGACAACCUAACAUGCCAGUUUCAGCUAAUAGGUCCAAUAUAUAUUUCCUUUGAGAUAAGUAGAUACCUUUUGUACUUCUGGAGACUUCAAUACCAAGGAAGUACCUUAGCUGCCCAAGAUCUUUGAUUUCAAAUUCUUGUGUUAGCUUCUGCUUCAGGUCUUCUAUCCCAUCAAUAUCAUCUCCUGUAAUAACAAUGUCAUCAACAUAAACUAUUAAUAUAGCCACUUUUCCCAUAUUGUGCUUAUAGAACAGAGUAUGAUCAGCAUUGCUCUGUUUAUAGCUCAGCUGUAACACAACACGCCUGAACCAAUCAAACCAGGCACGUGGUGAUUGCUUUAGACCAUAUAGAGAUCGAUGUAACCUCAAAACCUUACCCUCAGUUUGGGCAGUACUAAACCCUGGAGGUAUGUCCAUGUAAAUUUCCUCCUGUAAAUCACCAUGAAGGAAGGCAUUUUUAACAUCAAAUUGAUAUAGUUUCCAGUCCAUAUUAGCAGCACACGAUAUUAAGGUUCUUAUUGUGUUCAUUUUAGCCACAGGAGCAAAGGUCUCCUCAUAAUCUAUUCCAUAAGUUUGGGUGUAACCCUUUGCUACCAAACAUGCUUUGUAUCGCUCCACUUUACCUUCAGGGUUAUGUUUAAUGGUGUAAACCCAUUUGCAUCCCACUGGCCUUUUUCCAAGUGGCAAGUCAACCAACUCCCAUGUCUUAUUUUUUUUCUAGUGCCAACAUCUCUUCCAUCAUGGCUCUCUUCCAUUUUUUAUUCUCCAUAGCCUCCCUCCAAUCUCUUGCAAUAGAUGUAGCAUCUAGAAAAGCUAUGAAUCCUUUAAACUUUGUACUACAGUUUUCAUAACAAAAAAAAUUUGCAAGAUCAUGUUUGUAGCCCACAUAAUCCUUAAGCUUUUCUGGUAUGCUAGUUUUUCUCACCGAUUUCUGCAAUGCAAUGGGAGGAUCACUUGCUGGAUUAUUAGGGACAACUGAAGUACCUUGAGUACCUUCUUGUCCCAUCUCACGGCCAACCUCCUCCCGAAAAGAAUCAUCCUCUGGAACAGAUAUGCAAUCACCCCUUUCUCUUGUUUCUUCAUAAGUAGCUUCAGACAAGGAAUUAUUAGUCUCCAUAAUCUGUUGAAUGGGAGGGACAUCACAUACCUCAUUGUUUGCAGUGCCAUCAGUAUCGUGCUCCCCCUCUCCUUGAUUCUCCUGCUGAGACUUGUCUAUCAUAGGUAUCAAGAAUGAACUACCAGGAAUUUUCUCUUCACUGGGGUUCUCCCCCUCACGAUUAAUUCCACGAGGAACACUAGUAACUGAAGGAUAAAAUGGUUCAUUUCCCAGAAUGUGACAUCCAUACUUACAAAGAAUCUCUUCUCUGCGGGGCUCCAACAACGAUAACCUUUCUGAGUGGAUGAAUAUCCCAAGAAUAUACACCUGAUAGCCCUCGGAUCAAGCUUCCCUGCUGAAUUUCUAUAAUCCUGAACAAAACAUGUGCAGCCAAAUAUUUUCGGAGGGACAGUGAAGGCAUUAGCUCCAAUCAAACAUUCCAUUGGAGUUUUAUGAGCAAGAACUCUCGAGGGCAUGCGAUUUAUGAGAUAAGCCGCUGUUUUUACGGCUUCACUCCAGAAAAAUUUAGGCACAUUCAUCUCAAACAUAAGUGAUCUGGCAACUUCCAAUAAGUGCCUAUUCUUUCGUUCCGCAACUCCAUUUUGGGCAGCAGUAUUAACACACGAAGUUUGAUGCAUAAUACCAUGUGAAGACAAGAAAUUAUCGAAAUCUCUGUUAACGUACUCAGUGCCAUUAUCUGUACGAAGUACUUUUACCCUGGCACUGUACUGAUUACCCACCAAAGCAGAAAAAUCUUUAAAAGCAGAAAAAACUUCACUUUUAUGCUUAAGCGGAUAUAACCAAGUACAUCUACUAAAACCAUCAAUAAAGGUUACAUACCAACGCUCUCCUAAUACAGAGGUUACAACUGAAGGACCCCACACAUCGGAGUGCACUACCUCAAAAGGUUCUUUACUUCUUUCGUUCGUGCUAGGAUAGUUAGUGCGUGUGUGCUUAGCUAACUCACACACGUCACACAAAAGGUAUUCCUUGUUGCAGGAUGCAAAUAAAGAAGGAUACAUACGUCCUAGAGACUGGAAUGAUGGAUGUCCAAGCCUCCGGUGAAGUAGCAACAAUUCACUGGUAGCCAAGGUACAAGUAGUACUGAGUGCAAGUGAAGCUGCUGCAUUAUCAAGAUAAAUACAAGCCUUCACGCUCGGUGCCAGUCCCAAGUACUUUUCCUGUCUUCAGAUGCAAAAACACACAAAAAUCAAGUUCAAAUAUAGCUCUACACCUCAAUGACUUGGUGAGUGAGCUGACCGACAACAGAUUCACAGGAAAAUUAGGCACAUGUAGAACAGAGUCUAAGGGUAGAGAUGAUGUACAACUAAUGGUUCCACAACCCAUUGUAGGUGCCGAGGAUCCAUCAGCUAUGCAAACUUUCUCCCUUCCGGACCGAGGUGUAUACGAUGAAAAAUACUUUGAUAGCCCAGCCAUAUGAUUAGUAGCACCUGAAUCAAUAACCCAUGGAGUAAGUAAAUGAUUCACACCUUUUCCCACUUGGGUGCUUGAGGUAGCUUCGCUAGGAUUAUCUGCAUCAGCGGUCAUGAGUUUGGCCUUGAAUUCCUCUAGCGCUGUGACUUGAGGUGCUACAUUUACCUGCUGUUUGCCUGCAGAUGCACUGAAAGGGACUCGAUCUGGCUUUCUUUCAAGGUUACCUGCAGCCGCGAAUCUAGUAUUCUGCCUUUGCUGCCACCCAGGAGGAUAACCCACUAACUCGAAACAAUUUUUUUUUUAUGUGCCCUGGUUUCUUGCAAUGGUCGCAUAUCACUCUGGUUCUCUUGUAAUCAAACUUAACAGCAUUAGCUUGAUCAUUCUUAGGAACAGCCAAAGAUUUGUCUGGAGUGUGAAAUGACAAUGCAGCUCGAGCAUCAACAUUAACAUAUGGAACCACCACUUGAUUUUCUAACCUGGUUUCCUCCUCAAGGGUGCUAGAAAUAGUCUGAUCUAAAGUACUCCAGUCUGGUGUUGUCCAUAACAUCUGAGCUCGCAGACUAAAUUCCGGAUUCAGUCCUUCAAGAAAUAUUUGCACAAGUACCGGCUCAACCACUCCUUCAAGAGAGACAAAUCCCUAGGAUCAUGUGGCUUGAAUGGUCUAAAAAACUCAAGGUCUUGAUAGAGCUUCUUGAGUCCCCCUGCAUACUCUGUCACUGAUUUCUGGUCUUGCUUAAGAUGCAUCAUCUCGUGUAGUAUCCUGCUGACCUGCAUUUUGUUUGAUUUUCCAGAAAAUUGUUUCUCAAUAUUUUUCCAAACUUUGGCUGCUGUUUGAAAAUUCUCUACUUGCUCCCGAACAGUUUUCUCCAUAGAACUUAGGAGCCAAACCAUUACCUUCUUUUGGUUCUGCUCCCAUUGUUCCUGAGCAGCAUCUUCAGGCUUCUUACUAUCUUCUUCAAGAAAAUGCUGUAGAACAUGUGCUCCCAAGAUUAACUCAGUACCGUGCCCAGCUGAAAUAGUCACCGGGGCCGCUAAGCUUCACUGGAUUUGGCUCUAGCAUAGCCUUCACCCCUUCAGACGUAACACCACUACCAGACUUCGCCUGGGCUUGCUCCAUCAACAGGGCUAGCAUUUUUUGCAUACUAUCACAUAAUUUCUCCACACUCUUGUCUCCCAUCAUUUCUAACAGAACUUAAUCACAAGGAAUCAAGCUGAACCAAAUGGGGCAAAUUCUUGACAGCCUCAGACCCAUGAAUCGCAAAGGAUUCAACUUAAUCUGAAGCAAAGCAGGGCAAAGAGGUUCCAACAAAAAACUCCACGGACAGAUCAAGAAGAAAUACCUCAGAACCAAGCUGAAUCGCUUCCUUUCUCAGCAAUCAUCCGACGAACACCAACCUGUCCACAGUGCCACACUCACUGCCGCAAAUCACCACAAUCUGCCACAAUCUGACUCGUCGGCCUCAUCACGGAUCUGCCUGCUCUGAUACCAUGUCGAAUCUCACCUCCUAAACCAUCUAAAUCAAGCAAAUCAGCAGAUAUCAAAGAUUUAGGGUAGUGAGCAGUGAGCUGGACGGGAGAGAGAGGAAUAUCGAUGAACUGAGGCUUAUCCUCUCCGUUUUCUAUUCCAUCCCCUUUUCAGGGUUUUUACAUUUACAUUAUCCACCUUAUGACAUUCUAUAUUUACACUUAGGUACAGCACAUCUCAACAGUGAUAACUCUUCCUGUAUCAAGUAUCAACUGCGACGGUAGACAUAUUUUAUGGGAACUUAAUUUACAACGUACAGAGGUUCCUUUGGUUUCAUCUCAGGCUAGAACCGGCCGGCAAGCGAAACAACCUAGUAGAGGGAGAGGGAGCUAGCUAGCUGGGUCGGCCAGCCGGCAUGUCCUGUGUCUUGUCGCUUGUUACUAAAAAUUGGAAUUAAUUCAUAAACUCUAACCCUGCCAACCAUCCCAUGAUAGAGGGAGGGAAAGGGAAGUAUUGUAGCACUAGCUCAGCCAACCAUCCCAUGACCGUGCCUCUCAUCUUCUUCGAUCCUUCCUUGUUUGCUUCAGUAGCAGCCGGUGGGAAGAGAUGACGACAGAAGCAGGCUACACCGGUGCGUGGCAUGGCAGCCCACAACAGCGAUUCCGACCGGUUUCUGAGUAUAUUACCAGCUAAGUACCCUGUUUUUGAUUUGGUUAAUUCUCUUGCUCUGCUCAGCCAUCGGAGUCGUCGCAGUCGUGGUGUUAGGCGCGUUUGUCGUGGGGGCGCUCUUUUACAUGUAUAGAUGCGCCAAGUGGUGUCUCAAGAGAUCGCGCUCUAUGGACGAAUCAACGGUGGCAGCGGCGCCGGCGGCGAUGGCGACGACGAUGACACAGCACUAUGCGGUGUUGCCGGACGACGUGAUGAAACACGCCACUGUCGAGAGGUUUCUCGGGGAGAUCGCCGGCGAGAGGCCCAUCCGGUUCACUCUGGAGCAGCUCUCGGGGUUCACGCAUAACUACUCGGCCCGGCUUGGCUCCGGUGGGUUCGGCGCCGUAUACAAGGGCAUGCUCCCUAACGGCCUCCUUGUCACCGUGAAGCGCCUCCACGCCACCCACGACGAGAAGACUUCCCAGGGGCAGUUCAUGGCGGAGGUGGGCACCAUCGGGAGGACCCACCACAUCAACCUUGUCAGACUCUUGGGCUUCUGCUUCGACGACACCGUGCUCGCCCUGGUGUACGAGUUCAUGGACAAUGGCUCGCUCGAUGCCUACCUCUUUGACCGGGGUCAUGUCGUCGGCCUCCCUAAACGUCGUGACAUUGCUGUCGGCUUUGCUAGGGGCUUCCGGUACCUACAUGAGGAGUGCAGGCAGAAGAUCAUCCACUACGACAUCAAGGCCGGGAACGUCCUCCUCGAUAGCGGCCUCACACCCAAGGUGGCUGACUUCGGGCUAGCGCGGUUGGUGAACCGCAUGGACACACAUGUCUCAGUGUCUUGUGUUCGUGGCACCCCUGGGUAUGCCGCACCCGAGAUGUGGAUGCAAUCGGGCAUCACGGAGAAGUGUGAUAUUUACAGCUUCGGCAUGCUACUACUGGAGAUCAUCGGUCAGAGGCGAAACUUUGACCAGACCAUGACGGAGAGCCAGCAGUGGUUCCCCAAGCUGGCAUGGACCAAGUAUGAGACUGGUGAGUUAAUGAAACUCGUUGUGCCGCUGGCACACUGUGACCAGAAUGGCGUGCCUGCGGCGAAUGAGGUGCCCCAACCACAACUAUGCAUGGAGCUGUGGGAGAGGAUGUGCAAGGUGGCAUUCUGGUGCGUGCAACAACAGCCGUCAGUGAGACCACAGAUGAGUGAAGUGGUCAAGAUGCUUGAGGGUGAGAUGGACAUUGCUGGGCCGGCAAACCCAUUCCAACAUCUGGCACUAAAAUGAUACUGCCACCUCACAUCCAAGAUAUAAGUCCUUUUAGAAGCAGAGCCAAUCAAGUAUUCUAUGUUUGACCACGAAUUGGUGGAUCGAAUUACUUGCACGGAAAGCAUCAAAUUGAUAUCGGAUCUGCUAAUCCUCAGUCGCCUGAGAAAGGUUAUUUCCCACUCGAUCAGAUUUGUGUGGAGGUAGAGAAAUUUAUAAGUAGGGUAAGGGCUAACUUCUAAUAUUGACGGUUGGUUGGUGUUGUGGUUAGAUCAACACUACAGUUUUAGAAGGUUGCAGGUUCGAUACUUGGUGUCCAAUUUUUUUUAUUUGUCUUUCUUUUUUCUUCUUUCUUUUGGUUUUCUUAUGUAUUAUAUAUUGCUUUUUUUUUUAUCGCUCUCUCACUCUCUCUUCGUUUUUCUUGUUUUAUUUUUAUUUAAUUUGCCACUCUAACUUAAGAACGAGUAGCUACAGUAAAUUUCAGAGAUAGCAGCUAGUUGUUCGUAACAUUUAACCGAGAUUUUAUUUUUUUGAUGAGGUUUCAGAUAUCGGGUGACUCCUUAGCCGUUGAAUGUGUCGUUUCUUUUUUGGAAAUACACAAAACCAUUUAUUUUUCAUGUUGUUUAAGAUUUAUUUUUAUGCCUAACACAAUGUAUUAGUGUUCGUAUCACUUACACUUACUUUAGUAGUAGAAUUGAGCGUCCAUCCCAUGGACAUUCACGUGUCAACAAUGUGAAAUCUUUUUCAUUUAAAAUUAUUUUUUUGUUAAAAUAUCCUUCCCAUUUCACCUGCAAUUUUUGGGAUCGCGCAUAAACUUUUACCUCAAUUUUUAGAAUCGCGCAUAAGAUUUCACCCGCAAUUUUUUAGAAUCGUGCAUAAACUUUCACCUAUAAUUUUUUAUAAUCGCGCCUAAAUUUUCACCCGCAAUUUUUUAGAAUCACGCAUAAAAGUUUGACCUGCAAUUUUUAGAAUCGCGCACUUUCACCUGCAAUUUUUGAAACCGUGUAUAAACUUUCACCUGCAAUUUUUAGAAUCAUGCAUAAAGUUUAACCUGCAAUUUUUAGAACCGCACAUAAAUUUUCACCUGUAGUUUUUAGAACCACGCAUAAAGUUUCACCUGUAGUUUUUAGAACCACGCAUAAAAUUUCACCUGCAGUUUUUAGAAUCAAGGUUGGACAAAAUUACGGGCUGACAUAAGCAGUGAUUAGCAUGAGGCUUAAUGAUGGAUUACAUGUAGCUUAAUUAUAGUAAGUUUGGUCGGGUGCAUCACGUCGACUGAGAAAAGAGUUUUCUCAGUCGACUGAGUUCUAGUCAGACCCAAUUGAUAUGUAUGUGGUUUUCUAAUAUAUAGUCGGUUUUAUACGAGGAAACAUGUUUGCAUGGAAAUUGGUACUUAAAGUACCAUCUUGAAGAUCCCUAUGUCAAUAUCCUAACAGGAAGCCUUCGUAUCUGAAUGCAGGAGGCGGGUAUUGAUAGAAAGUUCAGAUUUCCAAUCUAGCCAUGUGGAUUAUUAAUGACAAAAUGAUUCAAACACUAAUGUUUGUAUCAAGUGUAAUGAGUUGUUUAAUCCCAGAGGCAAGUGUUACAACAAGGAUCGCGGCCGGGCUCCAAGAUGAUCGAACAAAAAGAGUUCUGUUUUGAAAAUGGAAGCUUAUAUUACCACCGUCCGGCGUGUAUGUUUGUAUCCUCACGGGUACGCACAACCAAUUGGCUUCAGGAAUGAAACAAGAUAAAAUAAGUGCUCUUGGUCUCUGCAUCGAAAGAGCGUCAAAAAUUUCUACCGCACCGUUACAUCGAUCACAUGGUAAUUUAAUUUAUUUACACCGUGGAGUCCACGGCGACCAUGCAUCAACGAGCCCAUUAACCAUUUGCUGGAGAUCUAUGGAGCCGGCGGCCGGCCGGCAUGCAUGCAUGUCCUGUCUUGUUGGCCAGUUCCCUUUGGUAUUAUAUGUUCUCGGCUUUUUAAAAGCUUAUUAGGCCGGGAUGAGAAGAGGAAUUAAGCAAAAACAACAGUUUCUUGGUGGGCGAUCCCACAUAUUUAACAUUGUGACUAUAAUUUGGUUGCAAGGAAGAACGCAGUGAAAGCGGAUCCCACAUAUUUAACAUUGUGACUCCGAUUGCCACAAAAAUUACAGAUGCUCCUUCCAAACCUUAGAAAUAUGGCAACGACAUGGCAGUGCUUACGAGAAUGACAUUUCAGAUAAAUUUCAUGGAUCCAGCAAUGACCACACAUUCCCUUGAAGUAGCAGAUGGCUCUCGGUUAACAAAAAUGAGAAAGAUAACACAUGAAUUAAAGCGCAGCCCAUCCGAUCUCAUGCUCCCAAGUCCCAAUGCCAAGUUAUGGUUUUCAUUGGCUCCCAAGUCCCAAAUGCAUGCCAUCAAAUCACAAAUAACUCUUUGAUCAGCGGAUAUACAACAAGUACAGUACGACUCAUGGCGACGACAAUGACAUACAGAAACCUCAGGUCUGUGGGAUCAACAAUGUCGUGUGUGCUCGUGUAUGCAUGCACCACCGAACAAAAAGAAGACCUUGCCGUCGAUCGUUGCUUCCUUCAGGGUUCGGUGUGCCCGUUAACCAUCUUGUGUUGAUAUGAUCUAAUACAAAGUCCUCUCCCGAAACAAGAAAAGAACCUUACGGAUGGCAAUGACAUGACAAUAUAUGCUUAGGAGAAUUAUUCCAGACAAUUUUUCCUGUAUCUGGCAAUGACCGCAAUUAAUCCUGAACUAGCACAUGGCUCUGAACAAAUUAUUGAGAAAGAUGUUACAUAUGAAUAAAGCGCAGCCCAUCCAAUCCCAUUUCCUUUUUCUCGAUCGUCAUCUUGUGCUCCCAAAGCCCCAAAUGCCACAGAUUUGGCGAAAUCGCAAGCAACUCUUUGAUCAGUGGAUAUACAAGUACAACUCAUAGCGACAAACAUAGAGAAACCUCAGGCGCAGCCUCAGGAUCAACAAUGUCGUGUGCUCGUGUAUGCAUGCAUGCACCACCAGACAAAAAGAAGACCUCACCGUCAAUCGUUGCUUCCCUAGCUUCAGGAUUCGCUGUGCCCGUUAACCAUCUUGUUGAUAAACUUGGGGAUCUCCACGUCGAAUCCAAAGAACGUGAAGUUCUGUGGCACCUUUGGCAAAGUUGCUGACGGCAUCGGCGGGAACGAGAUUUUCGCCAGCCCCGAGAAGUCCGGCAUCUUGGGGAGCGGCAGGCCGGCUGCUGCCGCUGCUGCAACACCUUUCUCACCACCCCCGGCAGCAGCAGGCUGCUGCUGCUUCAUGGCGGCAAGGGUGACAAGCAUAUCUGGUGUCACGUUCGGAGGUAGCUGGCCUGGUGGAACGUUGGCCCACGCCUCAGGUGGGAUCUUGGACAACAUCUCUGGUGUCACAUUGGCGGGGAGGUUGGCAAGCAUCUCUGGUGGCACAUUGGCUAACAUCCCUGGUGGCACAUUGGCAAGCAUCCCAGGCGGCACGUUGGCAGGGAGGUUUACCGGUACGUUCCCUGGAAGGUUUGCGGGGAGGUUCCCUGGAAUGUUGUCGGAGAUGUUCAUAGGGAGGUUGCCUGGGAUGUUCGCCGGCAGGACGGUGGGAGGAAGCGGCGCUGACGCACCUGGUAGGUUCCCCGAAAUGUUCCCAGAAAUGUUGCCUGAGAUAUUGAUGGGGAGGUUCCCCGGAAUGUUGUCCGAGAUGUGUGCCGGGAGGCUAGCAGGAGGAAGCGCCAUCGAUGCACCUGUAAGGUUCCCCGAAAUGUUGCCCGAGAUGUUCACAUGGAAGUUCCCUGGAAUGUUGUUUGAAAUGUUCACAGGGAGGUUGCGCGAGAUGUUUGCAGGCAAGCUAGUGGGACGAAGCGGCGCCGGUGCACUUGGCAGGUUCCCUGAAAUGUUGCCCGAGAUGUUUGCAGGCAAGCUAGUGGGGUGAAGCGGCAUCGGUGCACUUGCCAGGUUCCCCGAAAUAUUGCCCGAGAUGUUCACGGGUAGGUUAGCCGGCAAGCUGAGCGGCGGCAGUGCACCUGACAGGUUCUCUGGAAUUUUGUUAGUGAUGUUCAGAGAGAGAUUUGCUGGGAUGUUCGGCAGUAGAACAGCGGAAGAAAGCGAUGGUGGUGCACCUGGUUGGUCCCCUAGAUUUUUGUCAGGGAUGUUCGCCGGGAGGUUGGCCGAGAUGUUCGCCGGCAGGCUAGCGGGAGGAAAUGGUACUGGCGGUGCACUUGGUAGGUUCCCUGGGUUUUUGUUAGGAAUAUUCACGGGUGGGUUGGUUGAAAUAUUCACUGGUAGGCCGGCAGGAGGAAGCGGCGGAGAUGCACCUGGAAGGUUCCCCGGAAUUUUGUCGGGGAGGUUCACGGGGAGGUUGGGCGGGAUGUCAGGAUGAAGCAGCGGUGGCGCACUUGGCAAGUUCGCCGGAAUUUUGUCGGGGAGAUUGGGCGGGAUGUCGGGAUGAAGCAGCGGUGGUGCACGUGGCAAGUUCCCCGGAAUUUUGUCGGGGAUGUUCACCGGGAGGUUGGCCGGGAUGUCAGGAUGAAGCAGCGGUGGCGCACCUGGCAGGUUCCCCGGAAUUUUCUCGGGGAGGUUGGUCGGGAUGUUUGCCGUCCUUUCAGCGGCCCUCAGAAUUUCGUGAGGGAUAUGCACGGGGAUGUCGGUCGGUCCGCCGACAGUAGGAAGCGCCGUCAGUGCACCGGGUAGGUUCCCUGGAAUUUCGCGAGGAAUGUUUGCCGGCCUUUCGGCGACAGGAAGUGGCAGAGGUGCACCUGGUAGGUUCCCCGGAACCUCGUGAGGGAUGUUCACCGGCAGAACGGCAUGAGGAAGUGGUGGCGAACCAUUUGGACUUUCAGCCAAGAGGCGCACCGAUGCACAUAACUGCACGUCUGUGAUGGACAAGAUGGCCAGGAAAGUCACGUAGCAGAGAGAUCUCAUCGUGACUUCCCCUUGGAAUUGAGGAAUGAUGAGGAUCCCAAACCUGGCAAAAUUUUGUCAAAAUCCGCAAGAACAAGACGAUGAACUUUUUUGCAGAUAUAUGGAUUACAAGAAUCUGACUGUACAAGGGCCUAAAUUUGGCGAAUGGAGAGCCUAAAUGUAGCAACAAAAGAACACAUGCUUGAUUAGCACUUUAGCAGCCUUGCCAAAUAUAGGUGUCUCAAUUUGCCAUGAAUCCAACUAGCCGAUUCCAUGCCAAGUAUAGAUAUUACUGUCUGGAAAACUCUGGACAUGGUUAAAACGAGGGGUUUGCAUGCCCUCUGGACAUCAAAAUUAAUGCUGGCUAUGCAUGGCAGGACAACGGACAGAGCAUCUCCCCUUGUUGAAUCCCUAACUGAAUUUCUUCAUUGCAUACCACCAUAGAUGUACUGAAGCUAUUUAUGCGCAUGAGCAUGUCAUAUACUGUAAUUCACCUGAUUCUGCCAUUUCAAUCUCACACUGAAGUCGAUCGAUCCACUAGGACUGAACUUUCUUUUUCAGAAGAGUUACACAACAUAGCGUGCAAGAUGUACCAGCCCAAAAGGUAUAUAAACCAGCAGCCAUUUGUGCUAUGGCCGUCACAAAAUCCGUUAGGCCAUUGGUUGUCCUGAUUCCUCGGAGCAACUCUAGCACUUACCAAACCCGAGCGAUCCGAACUAACCGAGUUCGGAUCAAUCAAAUUCAAGAAUUCAGUACCGUCCGACUUCCGGCAGAACAGAGAUACUGAAUACGGAAACCGAACAACACAGAAAUCUGAAACUUCACGUGAAAUUCAUAUAAAUAGGGGGUUGGUUUUUCGCGAUUCACAUCACAGAUCAUCGGAGUUCAUCAUUCGUCCACAUACUUAAGUUCUACUACAUCUACUAGUUCGACAUUAACCAAAAGUUAGCUAAAUUAGAGGAGCAAACACCCAAAAACAAAAUUGCUCCUCGCCGGCCCCGCCGGCUUCCGGUCCCCUUGCCGGAAUGCUUACUUACUUAUCGUUCGAAAGGACGAUGACCGAGGGAGCUGCCGUCACCUGAGCCGCGUUGGGGAGGUUGUAUGCUGCCGCGAGCAUCCUCUCCUCCAUGGCGAGGCGGCGCGCAUCGUCUUCGGCGAUGGAGUGCUUCAACGCCUCCUUCGCGCACAUGAUGUCCUCGGGGUCGAACCCUGCCUCCGCAAUUUCCUUCGCCUCUGCCGCAUCCUCCUCCCCCUCCGCAUCCGCCGGCUUCUCCCCGACUAUCUCCACCGAUGAAUCGGAGGAGGAAGAUGAGGAGGGAGGAGCCAACCGGAGCCAGUCACCCGCUGGCUUCGGGUGGACGCCGCUCGAGCUCCCCUCCCCGGCGGCGGCGUAGCUGUAGCGACAGUCCCCAUCCCCUCCCCUGCGGGCACGGCGGCCGGCCUCGGAUUGGCGGCGCCGGACAUCUUCCUCGGUGAUGGUGAGCCGGACGCCGCUAGGGUUUCCGUGUCCGCGGGGACUGACGGCCAGACGCGUGCGACGAGCGGCGGAGGAGAUCGGGGGCCGCAUUUUGCCGUGGAAGCUCGCCGGAAAUGGAGUGGGUGGCGGAGGCGGCAGAGGGGAGUGGAUUGCGGCGGAGGGGAGUUCAGAGUUGCUAACAAAAACCCCCCUCCGAAUGCUACAUAUAUUGCGCGGAAGCGAAGCGAUUCGGUGACCCGAAUUAGAUUUUCGAUAAAUAGGCUCGAUUCAGUAUCUGGUCUGGUCCAUUUUUCGGCCCAAAACUCAAAACCGAGUUCGGUUCGCUCGGGUUCGGUAACUGAUAGAGUUGUUCUCUGGGUGGGCAAACCGAGGAACCGGAACCGCUGAUUUGUUUGGUUCAGGGGUCGUGGGCCAACCCACGCUGAUCCAACCUGCCCAAAUAGCUUUUUGCCCGUCUUUGGUAGGGGGGCCUGGUUGGGCACGACCCAAAAAAAGGCCCAAACCGCGGCUCACGGGGCAAAUAUCCUACCCGCACGCCGGCACCCGACCUCCGCAAACCCGCCUCGCCCACCUCCGCACGCCCGUCCCCAACCCCUUCGCUGCAGGCGACAGCUGACGCGGCGGCGGCCAGGCCCAGACGCCGCGGCAACCAGGCAUCUCCUCCCCUCCUCUUUCUCUGGUCCCCUCCCUUCCUUCCUCCUCUUGCUCUCCUGGCCUAGCGGAUCUGCGAUUGCGACGGCUAUGGCGGCGGAGGUGGCGACGACGACCGGCGUGUCCGUCUUCGUCCUCCUCUUCUUCCGUCUACCUCCCUCCCCGUGCAUCUCCCCUCUCCCCCCAUCUGUGCCGCUGCUCCUCCUUCUCUCCUCCUCUCCCGGCCACUGCUCUCUCCUCUCCCUCUCCCGGCCACUGCUCUCUUCCAUAUCUCUCUAUUUUUUAUCUCUUGUGAUUUCUAGUUGUUGCGACCUGUUUGUAGUUUGAGCAAUGUGUAAAAUGGUUGUGAAACUGCUGUAAUUUUACAGAUGGCCAGGAAUCGAACAAAUUUGUUAAUUUGGGCGGCAGCGGCUUCCAUGUGGAUAUGCAUGGCUUUCGUUGUUGUUGUGACGGGCCAGGCACAACCGGGCCAAGCCCGCUGGGCUUUCGGGCUUUCCGAAAAAGCCCGGCCCGAUGGCCAUGUAUACUCUCCGUCUCUCCCGGUCUCCCCCAUCCCCCGAUUCUCUUCUCCGAGAAGCAGAAGGAGCUGGCCGGAGAAAUCUCGGCGGCGACGGCGCUGCAGGUAACCCUUCUGUCCAUCACCAUCCCCAGCCUCGACCACCUACCAUCUUCUUCCUGUGGGCAGCGCCCCUCUCCUCCCUGGCCAUCUCCUCUGCUUCACGCCAGCCCCUACCCUCCCAUGGCGCCUCCCUACCCUCCCCAGUCCCACGGCGGCCCCCUCCCUCUACCCUUCCAUGUCGCCUCUUCCCCCUCUCCUUCCCAUGGCGCCCCCUUCCUCCCUGAUGUGGUUCCUGCCUCUGCCUCCUCCUAUCAAACCCUAGGACACCACAAGUUCCGUUCUUACCUGCAGGGCUAAUUUAAGUUUGGGAUAGCAAGUUGCAGCAAUCAAAUCAGGAAGAGAUAUAGCACUGAGUGAUGAAUUUUGUGUGUCUUAGAUGCAGGCCAAGUGUUACUAGUUUUCUGGAUUUUUUUACUCUCGAAUCCGCUGUCCUGCAUGCGGUAUACUCAUGUGUGAGAUACGGAGAAUUAGUUUCUGCACUAGUAUUUAUGUUAGUAGCAGUAUCCCGCAAUUAGCUUUUUCGCAGUGCCUCUCCGAUCACUGCAUGUCUGGUGUAACUGAGCUGAUCACCCUCUUCAAUGACUUCUCUUGCCAGGUCUGCUUCACGCGGGGAAGACUUGGGCCAAGAUCAUGGUAAGUUCAUUUCAACUCCUAUUAUGUAGCCAUCUUAAAUUUGCGAUUAAUUUUUGGCUCUGAUCACUCGUCUGUCUCGCUAAAUAUUGCAACUUCACAGGCAAGCCUUGCUGAUUCUUUCUUGGCUGAUCUUGACGAACUGUCAGACAAUGAAGCCUACCCUGUGAGUUGAUUUCUUUGCCUGCUGCGUAACCAUAUUUUACAAGGAUUUUUUUUUGGCAAAUCCUAAAUCUAUUGUCAAACUUUUCAGGAAGAAGACAACGCCGAGGCUGGGGGUGCGGAUGAGGAUAGUGAUGAUGAUAUGCCUGACCUCGAGUCUCUUAAUUACGAUGAUCUUGACAGUGUUUCGAAGCUGCAGAAGACACAACGUUAUAAUGACAUAAUGCAAGUAUGUGAUCAAACUCAUAAAUCUCCACUGGAAUCUCUCUCUCUCUCUCUCUCUCUGUCUCAUAGAUCUAUGUUUAUCUGGCAAAGUAAAACCUUAUUUUGGUUAAGAGUUUUUUUUAGAAAAAAUGCAUAUAGUUAAGAGUAACCAGUCAGUUUUAAGAUGCUGUACAAUGUUUCCCACCAGAACAGUGUAUACUAGUUUAAAAAGAAAUUUUAAAGAACGUAUAUAAUAUGGAUACUGGAGACACUCAGUUCAUUGCUCUUUUCAUGUCUGAUCCAUGGAUAUUGCUUUAGAUGCAGUCAUGGUGCAGAUGAUAAUCUUUUCGUGUGCUCAGUAAGUAGAAAACCAAUAAAAAGAUCAAACUUGGACUAGACCCUGGAAGCGUUAAUAUAGUAAGAAGACAACCUGAGUCGACCUGCAGAGGCUAGGCCUCUAUUGCAAGUGGCCAGUGUUUGCACUCUCACUUUUUGUCAACUUAGCAACUCCUACUUCUUGCUCAAUGUUACAGUGGAUUAUGUGGGAAAUAUUUUGCCAUUCAAUUUGAGUCCGUAGAGCAUAAAGCUCUGUUCAUCUGUAUUUUAGCGUUAAGCUGUGAAAGUCUUCCACUGGCCUCAUUCAUGACAAUAUAUCACAGUUCUGUUUGUUUAUGUCUGCAGAAAGUAGAAGGAGCACUUGAGAAAAGCACAGACUUAUCUAAUCAAGGUUUCAUACUAGAGGAGGAUCCAGAGUAUCAGCUUAUUGUCGAUUGCAAUGCUUUAUCAGUAGAUAUUGAGAAUGAGCUCAUUAUAAUCCAUAAUUUCAUACGUGACAAGUAUAGGCUGAAGUUUCCUGAACUGGAAUCCCUUGUUCAUCAUCCAAUUGAUUAUGCCCGUGUUGUUAAGAAGAUCGGAAAUGAGGUGGACUUAACUCUUGUAGAUCUGGAAGGGCUUUUACCUUCUGCAGUUAUAAUGGUUGUCUCUGUGACAGCAUCAACAACUAGUGGGAAGCCCCUUUCUGAGGAGAAUUUGUUAAAAACCAUUGAAGCAUGUGACAGAGCUCUUAAUCUUGACGCUGCAAAAAAGAAGGUGCUUGAUUUUGUAGAGGGCAGAAUGGGUUACAUCGCACCAAACCUGUCUGCCAUUGUUGGCAGUGCUGUUGCUGCAAAACUGAUGGGAAUUGCUGGUGGUUUGGGAGCACUUGCAAAAAUGCCUGCUUGCAAUGUUCAAUUACUCGGAGCAAAGAGGAAAAAUCUUGCUGGAUUUUCUACUGCCACAUCUCAGUUUCGUGUUGGCUAUCUUGAGCACACUGAAAUAUUUCAGAGCACCCCUCCAGCCCUGAGGACCCGUGCUUGCAGACUUAUAGCUGCAAAGUCAACUCUAGCAGCAAGGAUUGAUUCAAUUAGAGGUGAUCCAACUGGAAAAGCUGGUCGGAACUUGUUGGAAGAAAUUCGUAAGAAGAUCGAGAAGUGGCAAGAACCACCUCCUCCUAAGCUUCCAAAACCACUUCCUGUUCCAGACUCUGAGCCUAAAAAGAAAAGAGGGGGCCGCCGCCUUCGAAAAAUGAAGGAAAGGUAAGCUGUUCUCAACUUUAUUUAUUUGUCUAAAGAAUACAUGUUUAACAGCCUCAUGCUUAUUUGUGUGUUAAACUACUUCCUUAUAUGCUGAAACUUGAUUCAUCACAUAUGCAGCAUGUGUUCUUGUCAUAAUUGUGGAAACUUGAUUCUGCAGAUAUGCGGUGACUGAUAUGAUGAAGCUUGCAAACCGAAUGCAAUUUGGUAUACCGGAGGAGAGCUCAUUAGGUCGGUAUUGACAGGAUGGUUUGAAUAACAUUUUGUUAGUUACUUUCACUAUGCCUUAAAAUUGACAUGAUCGCAUCUUGCUGUCACCAGGUGAUGGCUUGGGUGAAGGUUAUGGCAUGCUUGGGCAGGCCGGUAGUGGAAAACUACGCGUGUCAGCUGCGCAAAACAAACUUGCUGCUAAAGUGGCCAAGAAGUAUGUUGUUUUAGUUCUUCCCACAGCAUCUUUUUUUUUUAUAUUUUGUUCCUGCCAUUUGAUAUUUGCAAUAAGCACACAACUACUACUUAGCUCCCCGAUGGAGGUCUUCUGCCCUUCCGCACCAACAAAAAUAGCAAUCAUAUGUAGUGCAAUGGUUUUUUUCUGGCUUUUUUAAAAUUCAACAGAACCUGGUUCAACUAUUGAGAUGUGCAAAAUUUAAUACAACCUGGUUCAAACUAUUGACAGGAAAAUGAGCAAAACAUUGAAACUUAGAUCAUCCUCAAUUUUAAGAUAUCAAGGCAUACAUCAAUAAGAAAUAGUUAUUACAGCUUUCAAUUCACUAUUAUUAAGUCCACCAUGAUUCCCAAUUUCCCAGAACUUAAUAUGUUCAAUGUAGUGCUUUGUGCUUUAUACCGUGCUCAUAUUUAUGUUCCCCUGUAAAAAUAUCAGGUUGUUUAGUUUACAAACUUCUUCAUUAAUGAUAGUUUCCACCACGUACAAGUUCCAGUAACCCAGCAGGCACUAUUGUUACAAUGCUGCUGCCACUCUCUUUAUUAUCCUUAACAUUGUUGUUUCUAUUUAGUUCCUGAUCUCUUUUGCGAUAUCAUGUCUGCAUCCUCUCUUUGAUAACACGUUACUUUACGAUAUCAGAUUCAAGGAGAAGAGCUAUGGUAGCAGCGGCGCGACAUCUGGACUGACAUCUAGUUUGGCCUUCACACCAGUUCAGGUGAGUUUUAUUUUUUCUUCUCUGGUACACUUCAAGAUAGGUAAUUGUGUUGUGCAUGACCUUUAGCUGGUCCAAAUUUGGAUCCUGGGGUUAUGGCUGCUACCUAGUCUAGAUUGUUAUUUAACUUCUACUAUCUUGUAUUUGGUUAAUUAUUUGUUUGACUUGUGCUUAUGUUUGAGGAAUCUGAACCCUUCAUUUUUGUUUCUACUUUUUUGCUGCACUACUAGAAGAUUCCUAUUUUUUGCUUCCCAAGUCAACAUGAACCAUGUAUGUUCUACGUCAUUCUACUGCACAGCAUUGCAUGGUCUUUUUCCUUCUUAUGAAUCAGGCACUCUAUAUAUUGAGCAAUAUCUACAUAUAUUAAUUACACCUCUCAAUGCUAUUGCACUUUUACAGUCACUGAUUACUCUGUUGGGUUUAGUUUUGAAGGAUUAACCACAUAAAUCCCUGAACACCAUCCCAUCUUAAUAUAACUGUUUUCGCUUACAGGGAAUAGAGCUGUCGAACCCGCAGGCCCAUGGGAAUCAUCUUGGAAGUGGUACCCAGAGCACCUAUUUCUCCGAGACCGGCACAUUCUCAAAGAUCAAAAGGACCUGAGAUCAGAAGUUUGAAGAUCAAAAGGACCUGGGAUUAGGAGAGGAUGGUUCCUUGGUCCAAGCAAUUUAAUCAUCCCAUUCUGUGCACAAUUAUCAGGAGCUCUUGGGAUGCACCUCUAACACAGAACCUGCUUGUAAUAUUCUCAAUGAGUUGAGGCACAAACUCUGGAAACUUUUGCAGUGGUUUGGAACAUAAGUACAGUGCGCUAUAUAACAUGUUUUCCCUGCAGUUGUUACUGAUUAUUGUUGAGCUGUCUUGUACGAGAUUGCUGCGUUCCAAACAUAUGCCUUGACGUGUUAUCAUCAUCGUGUCUCAUGCUAUUGGAUUCUUGCAACCUCUGCUGAGGUUCCAUUACCCUGCAAAGCAAGUUGAGCUCAAGAAAUAUAACUGCAUGCUUUUUUCUUCUCCUUUUGAUAAUUAUAAUUUUGUUUUUCUUCUUGCACUGCUCUAUCAUGUCAGUAUUAAUAAAUAUAGUUGUGUGCAUCGAUUGAUGUAGAGGUCUUGGUUCUUCUUUUCAGAAUAACAAAAAUGAGACCAUGCCUGUUGGAUGUUCUUGAUUUUACUGUUGCGGUGUUCUAACCAGUGAUAAAAUUUGAAGAUGAAUUUCUUACAGUGUACUCCUAAUUUAGGAUGAGAUUUUAUUUGGUUGCAAAAAUCAAAAAAGAAUCAGGCUAAUAGUGCCGACAGAUCAAGUUGUUGGACCACACUUAUGGCUCCAAGAAGGCAUUGGGCCCACAGACCAAUUACGAGCAAGUCGACGGCCCACCCAUCCCUUUCAUUCAACAAGCUAGUAACACUAAUUGCUCUUCUUCCUCGGUUCCUCCACUGAAAAUAGAGAAAAGAGAGAUUGCUCUUCUUCUCCUACCUUUUCCCCUCUUCUCUCUACCUCGCCAAACUCCUACCCGAUCAGCAGCAACUUCAACCGAUAUUUGCUUGGUAAUCCCAUCUCUCUGUUUCGUCUGCUUACUACCUUUCCCCCUCUAAUUUUAUGGUCUGUUUGCCUGUAAUAAAUUCUUCUGAAUAUGCAGCGUCUUGCUGUGCCUUCUCCGUGUUCAGAAAUAGUCUUAAUUUAUUUGAGUGAUGGCACUGGAAAAGUGAAGCUUGAGUUGCUUGCUACCUAACGAUUGUAUGUAUUCUUGAGGGUGCAGCUGAGAAGAUGCCGGAGCAGUCGGAGAACGCGGCGGAGAGCAUGGUGAGCGGCAUCAUGGACGCCAUCGCCGACAAGCUCCCCAAGCAGAAGUCGGUCCGGUUCGACGACGAGCCGGGCUCCUCCAUCUCCGGCCAGGCCAAGAGGCUCUUCGGCGGCCACAAGUCCGUCCACCACAUCCUCGGCGGUGGAAAAUGUCUGAAACCUCAUCACACCUGAAAACUCUUAUCUUCCCCAUCAAUUUGACUACAUGAAUUUGCUGAUGGGUUGAUUAAUUCUUGCUGGAUCCUGACGACCGAUGAUCGCCGAUCGUCACAGCCGCCGACGUGCUGAUGUGGAGGAACAAGAAGAUGUCCUCGAGCGUUCUUGCCGGUGCAACGGUGGCAUGGGUGUUCUUCGAGUGGUUCGGCUACCAUUUCCUGACCAUUGUAUCCUUUGUGCUUGUUCUUGGCAUGGUUGCCCAGUUUGGCUGGUCCAGCUUCUCAGGCAUGCUCAAUGGGUAUGUCUGUAUAUAUAUUCAUUCCUAUACAUACCAUUGAUCUCCAACCAUUUUUCUGCAAGUUUCUUGUAUGAUUUCUGAUUUUUUUUCCCAGGUCAUCUUCUAACGUGCCACGUGUCGAGUUGCCAGAGGAGCUGUUCGCGAACGCAGGCGCCGCCAUCGGCGCCCAGGUGAACAGGUUCCUGGGGAGCUUACAGGAUGUGUCCUGUGGAAGAGACCUGAAGCAGUUCCUAAAGGUAUGAAUGGGGUGAAUGAACUCUGUUCCAUCAGUUUUGCUCCCUUUGCAAACUUGCAGAUAUCAUGAGCAAAGAUUGAAUUCUUCUUUCAGGUGAUCGUCGGGUUACUUGCCGCCGCUUUCGUCGGUGGCUGGUGCAAUCUCAUAACAGUCAUCUACAUUGGUAACAGCAGCUAUGAUUUCACUUCAUAUUGAGGGGCGGUUUAUAUUAACAUAUGAACAGAUAAUCUUUCUGUUUUUCUUCUUCUGUCUGUCAUUUACAUUGGUGCUCCGGUGAUCCCAGGGUUUGUGUGUGCACACACUCUUCCAGUGUUCUAUGAGAAGUACCAUGAUCAAGUUGAUGAGGUCGUGAACAACAUGCUUGGGCUGAUUGGGAGCCAGUACCAGAAGCUUGACAAAGGGGUCCUGAGCAAGAUGCCAAAAGGGAACCUCAAGUUCAAGAAAAGCCAGUAGCUCCAAGAUGUGCCUAAAGGGGACUCUGGAUUGUAGUACUAUAUUGUACAGCUCAUAGCAGUACUGUGUGUAUUUUCUAUGUUUCUCUAUAGACAAUGGAAGUAUCCUCCAUUUAUAUUUAUAUUAAUAGCAGCAAUUUAGCCAUAUUUGAGCCCAAUUUUCUGACUGGCAUCCUUUGACAGAAUGAAAAGAAAAACAAUUUUGAGAGAUGAAAUCAUAACCAGGUUACAUUUGGCUGCAGAAGAGACGACACCACGGUAUCCAUUUGACCAAACAUUAGGCAUGCAAGUUAUAGGUUUUUUCAUCUGCACUGGUCAGGUUUCACAGAUGUUGUAAAUGUAGUCAACAUGUACCAGCUUCCAAACUGUUAAACUAAACAAGAGGCAAGAUGUUUCUGCGUUGAAGGGAACACGAGCCAAAAUUACUACUUAGAAGACCACACUAUUCACACACUAAGUUAUCUCUUGUCAUGUCACUGAACCUGCAUCAAAGUUGCUCGUCGUCAAAGAAUUAAUAGUACAAUUAGGCAAGUGGAGGCCAUAGUUGUAGUUGCACAGAGUUCUCCAGAUUUUACCUCAUAUCACAAGCAUGAGACACAAUAUCCACAGUUAGAACAUCCAUAGUUAAAAAAAUCUAGUUCUUACCACAGAAAUUGAAAAGUUCACACGGAGAGAUGUUUACAGGUACCCACGAAUGUAAAUAGUCUCACUAUCCAUCAAGGCGUGAAAACAUAACUGUGUAAAAUACAUUGUUGAAGACACUAUAAUUGGUCAACAGGGUGGAAAAUCUUGCACACUGCCAAUUUAGCAAUGUUAUUAACUCCUUACUAAAUAAAGAGAAAAUUGGUCCACCCACACAUGCAAUUUCCAUGAUCCUAAACAAAUGUCAGAAACACAAAUAUAUUCCUGGACUUCUAUCCUUCAGAGAUUGCAGCCAAUGUUUUCUUCUCUGCCGAAUGAGAAAUCAAACUCAUCAGUGUUCAGGUUAGUAACAACUGCUAACGACUGAACCAGAUAUUGCUAUAGCAGAUAACCAAUAUCCAUCUGACAGAAAUUACGAGCUUACUACGCAUGGUGAAAACUUUGUUGCGCCAUACGCUGAUACGCAGCCAUCAAUCCUCAUAGCCCGUUCUGGGUCCAUGUCAAUCUGAAAUUCGUCGGCAUUUCCCCUCGGCAAGCGGCAGCAUAGUCUUCAGCGAGCUGUGGCAGAGCUUCCUUGUGAGGGCUUAUGAUCCUCUUCAUGAACAGCUUCUCGCUCAUCAUGACUGCACUAUAGCAGCUCAACUCCCGCUUUAGCAAUCCAUUUGCCUUGAGAAAGUUCAAAACGUAGUACCGGGAUCUGAUCCGGCCCUCCAGGCUGCAAGUGAGCAGUCCCGCCCGGUGAGCUAUGUAUGCCGGUUCCAACCCCACCUCGGAGAUCAGGAACUCUGACAAGCUCUGCAGCGUGUCCUUGGAACGCGCCAGCAACGUUGGAGCCUUAGAAACAGCUAUGCCUGCCUCAGCCUCCGACCACCUGAAUGUGUUCUUCAAAUACUCCACUUUGGCAGCGAGCGCGUCCUCACUCUGGAAUCCGAUAGCAUGCAAUGCAUGCCGGAACAUCUUAGAGCCACGGGGCACACCUAUAGCUUCGGCGCACUUCACCAUCGACCGGAUGCGCUCUGCUUUGGCGGUAAGAAUCCAUGGCACGCCGGUGCACAGUUUGGCAAUAUCACAAUCAGCUAGCCCGCACUCCCGAAGGAAGGCCCGAUUGGGGUCUAUCACCUUGUCGAGGCUGGAGGUGAGAAGGUAGGAGUUUGUCCUGAGGGCCCGGAGGAGGUUCUCGGGGGAACCGAAGAGGGGAAGGUAGUAGCUCAGCUUGGAGACGAUGGAUCUAAUGCGGAAGUGGCUGCCUUCGAGAGAGACGAGGCGCGCGAUCUCAGAAUGCGAUAGACCGAGGCCGGUGAGCUCGACGACGUUGGGUUCCAGGAUUGCCCCGACGCCGGCGCAGAGGAACUUGGGGUCCUUGGCAACGAGGGCGGCGACGUCGGAGCUGGAUAGGCCGAGGCCGGCGAGGAAGGCGAGGACGGCGUCGGGAUUGGAGGGAGACUUGAGGUGGGAGAGCUUCUUGGAGGCCUUGAGGGCUUGCGGUCGGGUGAGGCCGCAGGUCUCGACCAGAUAGUCUGCGACGGCGAAGCCAGGGUUCGGGGAAAUUUGGGGCGCGGCGACCACGGCCGUGGAGAGAAGGCGGUGGAGAGAGGGGAGGGGAGAGGCGGAGGGAGAAGAGAGGAGCCGGGUAAGGACGAAGCUUUGGAGGCGGAUCAUGGCGUCGCCGGCGGCUAGGGAAAGGGGGCGGAUUUGUGGGCGGCGGCGGCGAAGCAGACUGGAAUCAGGAGCGAAGGAGAAAGCCCUCCUUAAUUUUCCUAAAUUCUUUUGAACUAAAACCACUUAACCACGACAAGAACUUUGAAAUGCACAGAGUGAUUCUUUUUACGGAGUUGCCAGUUAAUGCAGAAAGAGACUCAUUUACUAGUACUCCUAGAUUGUUUUGUUGGCGAUUGCAAGAAUGUCUGGUCCACAAAUUUAGGUUUUUUUUUCUGAGGAAGGUGGGAAACCAUUUGCGUCGAUAGCAACACGGCCAUUGUGCAAAUUCGUUUUGGAUUAUUUUUUUUCCUUAUAUUUUUUAGAAAUUUGCGGCUAGCUUUGGAAGGAAACGGUCCAUAAUUCUCUUUGUCUAAAAACAUGACAAGAAUUAUGAGACGCAGGAAACACCUUUUAAAUGAAGAUGUGCUCGCCGGCCUUUUGACUUGCAUAAGGGAUAAUGCGGACCACUCGAUGCUCGCUAGAGGACUUAUCCCCUUCGACCAUGUUUGGUUUUUCUGAACUUUUUUUUCCUGGGUUGUUGGCGUCGCACCUCUUGGUUUCUCGAUGACCGCCGUUAUUUUCUCGCCUUCCUUCCCGUAGCGUUUUUUGCGUUGCGAACAUUGUUUAUCGUUGUCGAUCAACAGUUAGUAUAGGAGGUGUCGAUGCGCGAUGGCCAGAAACAAAGUGGACGCGUACGUCGAUCUUAGGAAAGAUUGCAGUACACCUAGUCCUAUGUUAGGGGAGAGUCAACAAUGGGAUCAUUACCCAAUUUUCAGCCAAACGAGUCUUCUCAAAAUACACUUAGGGAGAGAUCCUUUGGGCCCUCUCAUGCAAUGAGGUCUUUCCGAGCAACGAGAUAAGAAUACCUUUUGAACUCUAACCCAAUUCCGAGCUCCCACCAACCUAAAGCUCCUGCGGAGCCUCUGGGCCUCUCCAUUUGGUUUAUUCAAGUUUAGAGUGAGUGAUACAUGACCCCUUGGAGGUUAUGUAGGUUAUGGGUACAUGACAAAAGUUCAUCGCUGCCUUUUUUUUUUAACACGAUGUCUCCCUUGGUGGGAGAGAGAAAAUGAGGAAAGGUAGGUGUCUUGAUCCAUAUAUUUGUGGAUGCACCAAGUGGGAAAAAGGAAUGGUUGAUGGACCAUAUGCCUUAUUCGUUCAUCAUUUGUCCACUUUGCUUCUAUCCCCUCAUUCUCUUUUCUUCCUCCAAUUUGAGUCAUUUCACUUUGACCAUGGUUAGGAGGAUUGCCUUUUUCGACUUGACUUGACUUUAAUACCUUGUAGGCUUGACCAUGCCACCACGUGUUUGAAUAUUGUUUACUUGGACCGGUCCAUAUAAAAGAUCUUUUCUACGAGAACAAACCCUGCUGUGAACUUUAGUUACUUAGCCAUCGGCUUUUCGUCUGUGCUGUGAUCUUAGCAACUCACAUGCUAACUUUCAAAAAGGAAAAAAGAGGUUAGUAGCUGGUGGAAGUGGAUAUUGAAGUCAAGGGAUUUGGAGGAUACAGUUUGAGAGCUUCCGUUGCUGCCCAGGACAGGAGUGUUUCUUCGCAGGCUCGCAGGUAUCGUAUACACUGGGCCGAGGGAGCUCCCAAGUCCCAAUGGGUGGCUGCCCGUAUGUACUGUACUAGGCAUGGACGUGAGCGCAGUUUUGCGUAAUUGAUGUGAUAAUUUUUAAUGUAUUAUUAGGUAUGUGCAUUUUUUUUUCUGAGCCUGCCGCCUGCAUCUCGAUAAUGCUUUACUCUGCUUUGCCAUGUGAGCUCUUUGCUCUCGUGCGAUUGCAUGUAGAGGCGCGGGUACUUGGAAGUAGCGUGAGGUGCAUCACUACUCAGAAAAAUUGUUGCUUCUCACAAGUUCUUUUUUCAAUUUGUGCGGCAUGCUUUGUUGGGCCUUUUUUUUCCAUUGUCACCAAAUGAUGACACACAAAGAAAAUAAGGUUCAAUAUGAGCCAACCAUAUUUACUCAGAUUUUUUUUUGCGAAGAAUAUUUACUCAGAAUUAAUUGCAUGCAUUGGGAGUAAGCAGUAGGAAGAUCUUCACCACGGAUUCUUCAAUUGCCAUCUAUGAGACGCAUUGCAUGAUAUUACUCUAAAGUUACUGUUUAGUUUUGUACUGCAAUUGACAACCGAAUCAUAUUGACUACUCAUAGCUUUAUGUUGAUCCUGAAAAUUGAAAAGAUGUUUAUUGAAUCAGCUUGAUAAUAGAAACAAGUUGACGAGGUUGUGCCUGUGCCAUAAAUCUGAGUAAACACUAAUGGCUCCAAACCAUAUAUUUGUGUAUACAAAAGAAUAAGAUGACAAAAGGUUUGUUAGCAUGGUAAGUUGCGGCAAAAAAUAUAUAACCAGAAGACACUGCAAAAAUUGCAUGUGUGUUACAGAAGGAGAGUGCUACUGAUCUGGCCACGGUUCUAGCAAGAUGGCACACCUCUUCAUGUUUCAAAUUACAAUUAGAUCUCGCCACAUGGUACUAUGAUACAUGGAUGUUUAUCUUCUCCUUACAACAAUAUCUGCAAAGCGAACGGGAAAGUUAGAUGUACUUAAGAUAAAGUACGUACCCUUAUCGAUCUAAUAUGUAAGGAAAACUUAAAGAGUACAAUUUAAUAAUUAAUUAUCAGUACCACUUGUAUGCUGGUAUUAUAAUCAAGUAAAGCCGGGCUCUCCUAAUUUCAUGGACAGAGUAGCCUGAGCUCUCAGCUGGCCGUUUUGACACACACACCCACAGGUAAUAAAAAAGUUAAUGCAUUGUAGGGAUAUCGGUCACGGUGUUGUUGGGCUUCUUCUGGUUUGGACUCUGGACCGGGCCUGCUUGGGCUGGGCCUUUGUUGGCGUGCGUGUGCUGUCGUUACGUCAUCCAGAUCCGGCCACAGCUUUCGGAAGGUUCCUGGACCGUCCAUUUUUGCGACGAUGGCGACGACGGAGGGAAGGAGAAGAAAGAUGGUUGGGGCCCAGGGAUUCCGUCCGACCAGCUAGCGCAGCCACGUUCCUCACGUUGCAGCAGCAGCUCGGCUCCAAGACAAGCAACGGCAGCUGAUGGAGGCAUGCUACUGUGCAAGGCAAGCCACACACGCAGCCAGGCCAGCAUAUCUCCCCCGGCGGGCCUGCCGGCUACCGGCCAAACUAAACUGGUCAGAAAAAGCUUCUGAGAGCCUCGCAGCGAACUAUAGUUAAAACCUGCCAGCUGCUCAUCUGCCACUCGUGGCUCGGUGACUCGGUGAGUGUGCAGCAAAGAGCGGAGCUAGCUAGGCUGUCCGUGCGUGAAGAUGGCCGCCGCUUGGUCGAUGCAGGUCGGCGGCGGCUGCCGCUGCUCUUUCGGCGGCCGGAGAGCGGCGUCGGGGAAAGCGGUGCGGCGGCUGCCGGUGAUAAGGGCGUCGGCGGCGAAGGUGGAGGAGGAGGAGAAAGUGAGGCUGGGGGAGUCGAGCGUGGCGGUGAGCAAGCUGGGGAUCGGGGCUUGGUCCUGGGGCGACACAACUUACUGGAACGACUCCGAAUGGGAUGGUCAGUACGUCGUCCGUCAGAAAGUCUCUGAAAUCAACGCUCUUAAUUAAGUUUAUUUCAAAAAAACAAACCGUGUGAGAAACAUUAGACAAAGAAGAAGAAUUUUGUUGGAGUUUUUUUUCUUUUUUUUCCGUUGCAGACAGGAGGCUCAAGGAGGCGAAAGCCGCGUUCGACGCCAGCGUCGACAACGGGAUGACCUUCUUCGACACCGCCGAAGUCUACGGAACAGCGGUAAUUAAAUUACUUGCUUGAUCAAGCAGCAACCGUCAACGACAUGCAUGCUUCCUCGAUCUGUCUGUCGGCCAUGACAAACUCUGGAACCUCUUCCAACAUAUUGUACUGACUUCCUCCUCUGCAAUACAAUUCUUCAGCUCAUGGGGGCAGUCAACUCAGAGAGCCUACUGGGAGAGUAAGUGACAUACAUAUCCACCACACCAACAACAAGUUAGAGCACUGAUUAAAUUGUUCUUCAGAGAAUUCAGUCACCCAUGUUGUUGAUCAUGGCAACAUAUAUGCAGUUUCAUCAGGGAGAGGAAGGAGAAGGGCGAGGUGGACGUGGUGGUGGCCACCAAGUUCGCCGCGCUGCCAUGGCGGUUCGGCCGCGGCAGCGUCCUUUCCGCGCUCAAGAACUCCCUCGGCCGCCUCGGCCUCCCCUCCGUCGAGCUCUACCAGCUCCACUGGUACUCUAGUACUACUACACAUCUCUCCUAUCUGAAUCUCACAAUCUUCUUCAGUUAUUCUUCUUCACAACAACUUGCAUGCUAACCAAGCCACCUGAAUCUAAUCUUUCAGGCCAGGGCUAUGGGGCAACGAAGGUACUCAUAAUUCAGAAACCAAUCACAUAAUGACUCAAACUCUUUGGAUUACAUGCAACUUCAUCAUCAGUUCUCCAAGGGGAAGGGGUCGAUUAUUUAACUGGAUGCUUCCAUAUACGAACAAUUGUGUCAAUUCAGGGUACCUUGACGGGCUGGCGGACGCGUACGAGCAAGGACUGGUGAAGGCCGUGGGGGUCUCCAACUACAACGGUACUAAAACAGGACACAAAUCUGAAUAAUAUCAAGUUCCAUUGUUUUCACUUACAGCUGAAUUGCAAAAUUGACCAUAGAUUGCAAUGUGUGUGUUUUCCAGAGAAGCGUCUCCGGGACGCGCACGCGCGGCUGAAGAAGCGCAGGGUGCCGCUGGCGGCGAACCAGGUGAACUACAGCCUCAUCUACCGGACGCCAGAGCUCAACGGCGUCAAGCAAGCCUGCGACGAACUCGGCGUCACACUCAUCGCAUACUCCCCAAUCGCACAAGGCAAUCCAUCAAACACCGUCCAUGUCAACACAUUUCACCAAUACUCAAUUGUUUCUUUGUUUUCACUUCUUGCUAAUAUUUCACCGUUUGUCUUUCAGGUGUUCUGUCCGGGAAGUACACUCCGGAGAAGCCUCCGACGGGGCCUCGAGGGAACACAUACACCCCAGAAUUCCUCACCAAGGUUUAGAUAAUAUGCAUUUUUGUUAUGGGAAGUUAAGGACAACCACUGAAUAUGUGUUUCCAUCUCUAUUAUGUGCGCAUGCAGCUCCAACCGCUGAUGAACAGGAUCAAAGAGAUCGGAGCAAGCUACGGCAAGAACCCGACCCAGGUGCGUGCUAGCUUCAUGAUCUUCACAUCGACAUUAAGUAACAAUCAGUUCUGGAUUAAUUGACGUUUUGGUUUGCAGGUGUCUCUGAACUGGCUGGCGUGCCAGGGCAACGUGGUGCCGAUCCCGGGGGCGAAGAACGCCGUGCAGGCCAUGGAGUUCGCCGGGGCGCUCGGCUGGAGCCUCACCGCCGACGAGGUCGAGGAGCUCAGGACGCUCGCCCGCGAGAUCAAGGGAAUCAAGAUGCCCAUCGAGGAGUCAUGAUCGAAUUGAGUGCUCGAUCGAUGCUCCGGCCGCCGUCCGAUCACCAUAUUCAUGAUCGGCUCUUGCACCGCUGCUUAUUAGCAACCUGCUGCUGAUCGAUGUAAUCACCACCGCCAUGUAUGAUCCCAACCUGUGUCCUAGUAGAAUUAGAAGAAGUAGAAAAUAAAAUGGGUGAAUGAACAGGACAGAGUGUUUUCGGAUGGUUUUGUGGAUCAUAUACAUAUAUACAUUUACAUGGGUUUAGCCACUACACGCCCGCGCGUGUGUGCCCCGGUUAUUUAGCCAAGCACGGUGACCAAUGCAUGGGUUGAAACCAUAACAUUUUUAGUUUUGGACAGAUUUCAGGAUGGGAUUCAAUAAUCUGGUUUUGGCAACAAAAAAAAGUGUGGUGAUAGUAUGAGCUUGGUAUCCUGGUUGUCAUUUCCAAUGGAAUACCAACAGAGUUUAGUCACUUCAGGGCUUUCUGCCAUUUCAACGGGACUGAAAUACUCAAAGCACCAUCUUUGGUAUGCCUACCUUCUCCAAACUCAAAGACAAGGAUGGUUUAGAUUGCAUCAUACCUCUUUGGUCAGGAUAAUCGGCGGUUUCAACUGGUACGGUGCUACUACCUCCGUUCCAUAAUUCUUGUCAAAUAAUUAUAUGUAUCUAGACGUUUUUUAGGAAUAAAUACAUCCAUAUCCAUAUCCAUAUUUAAUCAAAUUUGAUGCAAGAAUUAUGAGAUGGAGGGACUACCCGGCAUCAAUAUAGUGCUUCUAAAUUAGUAAGCAAUCGUGACCCGGAGAUGAUAACGAGGACCCAUUGAUCAAUGUCUCCUCGUUCUAGGCAACUAAGGCCAGGAAGCAAAACAAAUAACAGAACAAAAAAAUCAGGCAUGAAAAUGUAUAUGACACAUCGCUCUAUUGUCGCUGAGAGCAAUGAAAAAUCCCAACUGAGAUCAUCAUUUUCCCCGGUGCGCUAAACAACUUUAACGUUUGAAUUGACAGGGAUAGGCCAUGCUUCCAGGGAUUGAAAAGCCAAAGUUCAUCUCGACUUGGUUAACGAGAUCAAGGUUGGAAAAUAGACUUUUUUUCUCGUUAAAAUAAUUUAUUUUCUUUAGGCCAAAAAAAAUGUGGUCUUUUUUUUUUCAUAAGUCGUGAGCAGUUGGUGCUGUAAAUAAGAAGGCCGUCGUCUCCGGUGCGGUCGCCGGCGCGUCCACGUGGCCCCAUCAUCUUCCCGUGGCCACAAAACAAAACGCGCGCUUCCGCUGCUCCCAAAAACGCCAUCGCGCCCGCCCGCGCCACCCACCACCCACCAAGAACGACCCCCAGCAGGAGCUCACCACUCCCUUGUUGCCGCCGCCUCCCUUCCCGUCCCGUCUUUCCCUCGAUGGCCCUGCAGGUCGCCGGCGGCGCGCCCCACCACCUCGGCGUUCCGCGGCGGCGGCAGCGUUGCGCGGCGCUCCGGCCGCCGCGCGUGGCGUCCGAGAGCGCGGCGAAGCCGGUGGAGGAGGACGGGAGCAACAAGGCGGUCCUUGGCGGGUCCGGCGUCGCGGUGACCAAGCUCGGCAUCGGGGCCUGGUCGUGGGGCGACACCACCUACUGGAACGACUUCCAGUGGGACGGUACGUACGCAAGCAAUCCAUCCUGAGCCUUGUUGCCAAUCCAAAUUCCAAUGCCCGCAGUUCAUCUUUUGGCCAUCGACUCUUUAGUGUAGCCUCUAGCCCUCUACUCGCUGCAAUCUGGUUGUUUGUUGCAUACUUUCGUUCCUGCCCCUGUUUUUCUGGCUGGGCUGGGAAACAGAAUCCAUGGUCCUGUCAUGCACAUGACGUGCUUGUUGCAUUGCCUCUAAAAAACCUAAGAAGGCUGUGUGCCAGAGCUCAGGUCCCAUGUAAGUAUGUAACCACUGAGAAGCUUAACAUCAGCUUAAAAAAUCUGCAGUUUCUGAAUCUUUGCACUGUUCUUGAGUACGGAGCCAAAUCACUGUAGUACUUAGAGUUCCUGCUAUUUAAUUACUAGAAAGUCGUGACGAACAUGGCUCAUUCGAUAUGAAAUGAACAAGCAUCUUCCUGAAUUAAUUUGGCAGACAGGAAACUCAAGGCAGCUAAAGGCGCAUUCGAUGCGAGCGUCGAUAGUGGAAUUACCUUCUUUGACACUGCAGAAGUGUAUGGUGCAGGGGUAGGGAUCCAGCCACUUCUUGCUCUACUAUUGCUCAUUCUCUAGAUCUUUUCAUGGCAACUUUGACAGCACCUCUUGAUUUCGAUGUUAUUUAGGUAUCAGGAGCGAUAAACUCUGAAAGUUUACUAGGGAGGUACGCAUGUCAUGCUUCCUUGUUCAUCAUUACGAUAUUAUUUAAUAAUUACUGUUCCACAACCAGGGGUCUUUCCACAAUGAUUCUGAUUCUAAUUGUUACAAGUUCCCCUUAAUUCCCACCAGAUUUAUUAAGGAAAGGCAACAAAAAGAAAAGGUCGAGGUGGCCAUCGCAACAAAGUUUGCAGCUCUUCCAUGGAGGUUUGGCCGGGGAAGUGUUCUUGCUGCGUUGAAGGGCUCACUUUCCCGCCUUGGCGUCUCCUCUGUUGAGUCGUACCAACUUCACUGGUUAGUUCAACUUUCUAGCUUCGAUGCUAUUUGCCAUAUACUCUCUUUAGGUUGCUGAAACUAUUCCUUUCAUAUCCUUUUCAGGCCUGGGAUAUGGGGUAAUGAAGGUAUCAGCUAAAACUCUACCUACAUAAAUGUUAAAACAUCUUUGUUAAACCCACUACAGUGCAGUAACCUCAUUGUUCUUGGUCUGCUUACAUGAUCCAGGUUACCUUGACGGCCUUGCUGAUGCUUAUGAGCAAGGUCUUGUAAAAUCUGUUGGAGUCUCAAACUACAGCGGUUUGUAAAAUCUGACUUCAUUGCUCAUCCGACGAAAAGAUGUUAUGCUACUUGCUUUUAUUUCGAACAAAACUAAGCUCAAUCACAUCCAUUACCAGAGAAACGUCUGCGGGAUGCUUACGACCGCCUCAAGCAAAGGGGAGUUCCACUCGCUUCAAACCAAGUAAACUACAGUCUGAUAUACAGGAACCCUGAGGAAAAUGGGGUGAAGGCAGCUUGUGAUGAACUUGGCAUCACUUUGAUUGCAUAUUCCCCAAUUGCCCAAGGUACAAUCUAUUACCAUGUACAACUUUUCAAUCUGAAUUACUCCCAUGUACAACUUUUCAAUCUGUUUCCUCUAUUUCAGGAGCUUUGACAGGAAAAUACACGCCAGAAAAUCCCCCGACCGGGCCUCGUGGACGGAUAUACACUCCUGAAUUCCUGACCAAGGUUGUGAAAUUAGGAACUAUUAAUCAUAAGCUUUGCUGCAAUUAAACCUUUGAACUCUCUCCCUUCCAUCUCUGCUGCUGCUUACCAACCCCUUGCUGACUGAAGAGAGAUCUUCUCAUGCCACACAAUUGCAGCUCCAACCACUCAUCAACAAGAUCAAGGAGAUCGGAGGAAGCUACGACAAGACCCCAACUCAGGUGCUGUGCUCUUUGCAUGCAUGUUCCAUAAUAUAUACAAUGUCUCCUUGAUUGCCAAGUCAUAUAUAUAUAUAUACCUCACCAACCCAUGAAGAAAUUAAAUGAUUCUGACGACAAAACAGCAGAUUUCAGGCAGAUUUAAUUUCAUGACAUGCAUGAUGAUUAUUAAUUAAGCUGGCAAAUAAAGUUUGCAAAUGAUCGCUGAUGUUGGUUGGUUGUUGUUUUCAGGUGGUUCUGAACUGGCUGAUGUGCCAGGGGAACGUGGUGCCGAUCCCGGGGGCGAAGAACGCGGAGCAGGCGAGGGAGUUCGCCGGAGCGCUGGGGUGGAGCCUGACCGGCGACGAGGUGGAGGAGAUGAGAUCCAUGGCGCGGGAGGUCAAGCCGGUCAUGGGGUUCCCCGUCGAGAGGCUGUAAAACAACAAUCUGCAGCCAGUUUGUGGCUCAUCAAGAUAUAUCUAUAGUACAGCAUUGAUCUAGGCACAUACAGUACAUAUAUAUAUAUAGGAGAUUAGUUACGUGAAAAAUUCGAGUUAAAAUUGUAAAAAAGGAGAAUAUAUAUAUAUAUAUAUAUAUAUAUAUAUAUAAUAAUGUGGAUCAAAGUUCAAAAACUGGGCCGAUCUUGAUUCUCAUGAUCUCAUCACAAAACAUGAUUACAAUUGUUUUCCCUCCUUCUGGUCUGUUUUUCAGAUAGGAGUAGCUGCUGAAAUCAUGAUAUCUUUUUGUCACGUUUUUACUUGACUUGAAAAAAAAAACUAAGUCGGCAGAGAAAGGAGACUCGUGAUAUAUAUCCCUACAUGCAUGUGCCUGUGCAGCAUGGGAACUUGGAUGUUGGACUUUUGCUCCCAGCUCGGUGCAAACGGAGAAGAAGAAGAAAUCAAAAGAGGGGAAAGAUUAUAAUCUCUAUCUUGGUACGUACGUAUAAACCUAUUCUUUUUCUUUUUUGCUACUUCCCUUCUUUCAUUUAUAAGACGUUUUGGCAACUCAAUUUAGUUCGCCAAGAAGUCUUAUACCAAAAAAGUUUCAAGUUUGCUAAAUUUGGAUGCAUCAUGACUUAGUGUAUUGAUGCAUUCAAAGUUGGUCAAAGUUGAAACAUUUUUUGUUGGACUGAGGGAGUAAAUAAAAACGGAGGAAAUAGAAUGCAUUUCAGCAGUGCAUCGAUAUUCAAUAGAAGGGGAAGGCCAAAGCCGAGUACAAUGCCAGAGAGCUGGUCAUGGUGUAACAAAGAAGGUCUUUGUGGCCGCUAGCAACACCCUCACAGAAUGAGCUCGACUAGUCUCAUCCCGGAUCACUUGCCAUAGCCUGCGGAAGGCAAUCAUUAAAUACCAAAUCAUUAAUGCGAUCAUUAAACACCACAUCAUUCUUGUGUCGCCACAAACACCAAAACACUAAGGAGAUGGCAGUUUGAAGAUCUUAUUGCUCACGCAGGGGCCAUUUUGGAUGACCACCACUCCACGAGCUGGAAAUCCUGAGUCAGCCUCCAAUCAAGUCGUUGCCUCAUUUUGAUUUGCAAGUCAUGUUUGUGUGACUAAAGUGUUCCACCGUUCAAGUUUUUAGACCGUCAAUGCACGGAUGAGUUUGGUUCUUUGUCUAAGGCUUAAUUGAGUAGCUGCACAUUUUUAGAAAACUCAUGUAAUUUUAAUUGUCAAUUGUACAUUCUUAUAUCUAAAAUUAUAUAAAAAGUCAUAAAAAUUCCGAGAAAGAAUUUAUACUAAUUUACAUAUAAAUGUAUGAGGCUCACCCGUAGAAUUCGGAGUGACAAAUAUAUUCAUUCAUGGAGACGUGAAAAAAAAAACAAAUAUGUGCGUCUAUAAUAAUAGAGCGUUCGCUCCAAGAGAAAGACGACGUUCACUCCUCAUAGAUUUCGUUAUUCGAUGAAUUUUGACGAUGGGCCACUGGAUCGACCGAGAACAUCCAACAGAAAAGAGCUUCCCCAUAUUUGCUUCUUUGAAAUCCUUAAAUAUAAGGAUUCCCAAGACACCCUCCUCAAAUCAUCUUCAUCUUCAACAGAUUUCUCAUAUUUCAUUGGAUUCCCAAGAUACCCUUCUCAAAUCAUCUUCAUCUUCAACAGAUUUCUCAUAUUUCAUUCCCUGUAUCUCAUCAAGAUUCGGAAAAGACAAAUCAAGGGCUGAUUUUUGUCUCUCCCUCCCACCAUUUUCUUUCUUUGAAAUCCCGAGCUCAAUUUGAGAAACGGCUUGAAAUGGAAAAUGAGACGGGCAUCUGCUGGAGAUCUUUUUUAAGUCAAAAUUCUCAAAUUUAACUGCAGGGAACGGGAUUAGAACUAUCAUGGAGGAUGCUUUAAUCUCAGAUUAGGAGCAAAUCUUUUCUUCCCGUCUGCGCCUCCUUCUAUUCCCUGUUCCCCGAGAAAGGAAAUCCAACCCAACUGACACCAGCAAGCCCACAGCUUCCCGCAGCCCUCCUCCUCGUCUCUGAGAAACCGAAAGCACCAAGCUUUUGACGGACGCAUAGGCACACCUCGCUCUCCGCCGGUUUCUGUUUGCUCAACUGACUGGACAGACACAGCCCGGUGUCAAUCGAUCGAGCAGCUCGGGUGCAAAGGAUCGAGUGCCCAGUGCUGCGAGGAUCGAUCGUUGAUUCAAUUCAUGGACAUGGACGGUGGCACGAGACCGGCGCCGAGCCGGAACCGCAAGAUACGCCUCCCGUACGCAGUUUAACUUCGAGCUUCUCUGAUCGAUUUGAUGAUUUGAUUUUGUGUUCUUGGGGUGAUUGUUGCUGGUUGUUGCGUGGCGCAGGAUGGAGGGCGGCGGCGAGCUGAUGGAGCUGCUGUGGCAGGACGGAGCCGUCGUGGCGCAGGCGCAGCGGAGGUGCUCCCAGAGCGGCGCCGGCGCGAGCGGGGUCACGGGGGAGGGGGACGCGGCCGCGUGGCUGGCCCCUGACGGCGGCGGCGGCAGGGACCUGUACUCGCAGCUCUGGCGCAGCAUCGCCGACGCCGACGGCGCGGGCGCCUUCGUGGCGGGGAGCUCGAGCCGCACCGGCGAGGCGGCGGCCGGGUCGAGCUUCUGCGGGAGCAACGCGGUGGCGCCGCCGCCGCCGCCGCUGCUGCCGUCGCCGGAGGCGGAGGCGGAGGAGGAGGAGGAACCCGGCGCGUCCUCCGCGGCCGGCGGCCACGCGCUGCUGCUCAAGAGGGGGAGGGACGAGCUGGACGAUAGCCGCUGCGAGGUCGUCUUCUUUUUUCCCCCAUUCUUGUUGGUGUGCAAUGGCAACGGCCUGUGUUAAGUUUGUUUAAUUUCGGCUCAGUUAGUGACAGAGUGGAAAGGAUUUGCAGGACGCCGACGACUGCGAGGCCGUCGACGAGACACGGACGUCGAGGCGGCCGGCGGGGAAGCGCAGGGCUCGUGCCGCCGAGGUCCAUAACCAGUCGGAGCGGGUAAGCUAUGACGAACCAACCAUUCCCAUCUCCAUCGCCGGUGGCGCUACUUGGAGAGUGCUCUUGAUUUGAUGUGGUGCCUCCUUUUUUUUUUGCAGAGAAGAAGGGAUCGGAUCAACGAGAAGAUGAAAGCGUUGCAAGAGCUCGUGCCUCAUUGCAACAAGGUAGAAUCACAGUUUUGAGUUCUUGUUACGUUUGAGUUUGUGUUGUAUUUGUGGUGAACUUAUCAUCCUAGUUAUAAAAAAAAUUCAGAGCGACAAGGCGUCGAUACUAGAUGAAGCAAUCGAGUACUUGAAGUCCCUGCAAUUGCAAGUUCAGGUUCAAUAUCACACUUCCGAUUUCCAAUUUCUCCUCAUUUAUGUAAAAUUAUAGUCCGUGGUCAAUCAAUCUUUAGUACUCCGUACUCCGCUGAGGGUGUUGCUUCGGGUUCAGAUCAUGUGGAUGACUACCGGGAUGGCGCCGAUGAUGUUCCCCGGUGCUCACCAGCUCAUGCCGCAGAUGGCAAUGGGCUUGAACCCUGCGUGCAUGCCCACAGCACAGAGCCUGAGCCAGCUGCAAAGAGUAGCACCAUUCAUGAACAAUCCUCUCCCAAAUCAAAUGCCUCAGGUCCAGCCUCCAGCUACCGAUUUUCCCAACGUGUCAAACCAGAUGCCGAACGAUGGUGUCUGCGAGCCGACAAAUCCUUUCUUGCAUCCUAAUGACACACUAGCAGCAGCAACUCAGGUUAUUGUCAGGCAUCUCAUAUCUACAGAUCUUUCAGAUUUUCACCUCUGUUUACGCCGUUAAUUCUUUCCGGGUGCAGGGUAUGUUCUCCUAUGGAUCUCAAAGGGCACAACAAAAUGAGAUUCACGAGUUAAUGGCUAGCACUGCUAUUCCAGCUUCAGGAGUCUGCCCGCCUUCUUCCGCUGACAGAACUGGAACAUGAGGCCAAGAGUUUCCAACAAGAUGAUUUAUUACUGGUCAGUACAAAAUUUUGUUACUUGUAAACUGCAAUUGGAGUAGGCGUGUAGAUGGAUCUCCCUAAUAAUUCAAACACAGAAUUUUGUUGAAUUUAUCUAUCAGGUGGACAACACUGCAUCAUCAUUCUCUGUGCUUAAGCUUAACUAAUCAGUGCAUGGAAACUAAAUUACUGUCAUCAGAUUUACCGGUUCUUGAUAUUUCCUUCCCCUUUGGCACCUUUCAGUCCUGUCCCAUCACUGGAUGAACUCUGCCGCAUCGGUUGUGCAUCUGUUUCACUCUUUCGCUGUUACAUUCAAUUGACUGUUUUGUCAGAUUACCGAAAACAAGUGAGACUAGUUCACAAACAAUUGGGUUGAGCAUCGCUCUCUUGAUGCUGACAUGGCAAGGAGUACAACAAGGACUUGCAUGAGGGCAGCAACUAGUGAAAAUACUACUAGUAGUAGCCAGAUGAGAUCCUUGAUGCUAUCUCAACAACCAAUGUUUGCUUAACUUUAUCUCCAAAAGUAAUCAUUAUAUUAAGCAGGAUCAUUAGGCUGAUGUAGAGACUAAUGAUAUACUACUAGGCUGAGGUAAAGUUUGACCAUAGGGCCUUAUAUACUAAUGAAGUUCUGUACCUAUUUAGAUUGUCCAUCGAAACCAUAAUUUAAGAUGUCAGGGAAACACAAACAUGUCUCAUGGCUAGAAUAUCACCCUAGCAUAUAUAAUAUAUAGUUCACAGGUGUUCCCUAGAAGCAAUAUAAAACUGAUGACAACACUACGCUUCGCUCUUUCUUUUUCUUAUCAUCUUUGACGUGUUGCUGAAUUUUUGUGCAGUGACCAGCCAGGGGGGUUGAACAUAGGAGGCCAUAACAAACUGGUCCUAGCAGAAGAAGAGACAUCAGUGUGCUGUAAGAGCAGGGCAAGGACAGAUCAUGCAACUUUGAGCCUUUGUGGCACCACUGAGUAGCCGACACGUAUACGCCCAGGAUCGUGCCAAGCGCAGAUACUAUUCUAAUCUGGAGAAUAGUCUUCAGCAUCACCUUUCUGUUUCUGGAAUGAUUUGGUCCAUGGGAGAUGAACUUGGCUUGGCAGGGACUACAGAAGAUAUGCUGCAGAUCUGGAGCAUGGCAUGGUUGGAGCCAGCAUCUACACAAGGAGAAAAAGCAGGGGCAGUUCCACUCUUCUUUCUGCUGAUGUUACACCACUUGUGUAUUCUUACAUGACCAUCCCGUCGACCCAGGACCAACAAUUCAGCUGUCGAGUUAUCGAUUCGACGGCUACCACAAGGAUUGGCAGAAACUUGUGCUGUUGACACAAUGGCAUGUCAGGAUUCCACAUUCACUGAAGAGGAGAAAACUUUUCAAGGGUGAACAAAAUCAUGUUCUGUUCAGACAAGGGGCACAUUGAGAUCAUUCUCGUUCAUCGGUAACGCAGAAUCAUCGCCAAGGAUUGCGUGCCUGAACAAACUGCUGCCGCAUCAGGAUCCCUGAGUACUCCGUUGCACCGUCUCCGCUGUCCUUUUCACUUGUUCUUAUGGAAACUAUACCACAUGCAGUGUAAUGAUGCUUAGUUUCAAGUUAAUCGGAGACGGUGACAGCUAUCAUUUGUUCGGUUUCGCCCCAGUUGCCACUAUACCACAUCGGAGACGGAGUAAUUAGAGUCUCUGAAUACAUCUACAUCUUUGUGUUUAUUGUGAGUCAGCCCAGGUCGCCGUCGAUGGAGAUUGGGAUUUUGCUUCACAUUUAUAGGUCGAGAUUUGGUUCUCAUCCAUGCUCAUGUUUUCUCUUUUCCUUUAUGCGAAUCAUAACGAUUGAUGCUGAUGUUUAGCAAUGUGGGGGGACACAUGCACACGCCCUGUGCUUAUUUUGCAAAAAUAAAUACGUCCAGUUCAAAAAACAGAGCAAGUGUGUUUGAGAAACAGAGUGAAAAUUUCAAAAAGGAAAAACAGACUUGGCUUCGCCCGGGUUUGAACCGGAGACCUUCAGUGUGUUAGACUGACGUGAUAACCAACUACACCACGAAACCUUUUCAUGCUGGUUAGACUGACGUGACCGAGGUCAUAACCAACAUGCAAUAUUUACAUGUAUAACGUUUCAUAAUGUAAGGUAAUUUCUGCAAAAAAAAUUGAACUGCUUAUAUAGUUUUGAUUAACUCAAUAUUUUACUCAUAAAUGAAAAUUAAACUUCAUACGUGAAAAUACAUCCAAGCAGCCGUUCGAUGGUUUUGCUUUGGCAAGCCCAACAGUCUUGAUAAAUAUGAUGUGAUAUAAUUUAGUGGUGAAGGGUGAACGCGGCGUUAAUACCGGCACCGGGUAUAUACCGGUGCGUUUAUGGCCGUCAGAUCGCACUUCGAUAUUCGCGCCAACCGUCGGAUCUCACGUGAUUUGCUCUGCGCAUGAAUCUCAACGCGCGUCUGACGGCUAAAAACGUGCAGUUAUAUACCGGAGCCGGUAUUAAAGAGUUUACCGGCGAAGGGUGUAUUUUGAGUGGCCAAAACAACAACUUUUGACGGGUUGCAUAUGUGUAUUUCCUUAUAAUUGACUGCCUCACUGAUUUUGUUGUUGGUAUUAGCAACAAGGUUGUUAUCUUCUGGAAGAAAUUACGCCGCACUUUAUUUUCUCUCUUCCCAUUCCUUCCUUGGCAUUUUAAAAAGUAGUUGAUGUGUAUUUUUGGAGAUGUCUCAUUUUAUUCUCUCUUCGUAUGGGUUAAUUAUCAUCCAGACUUUGUUUAUAUUGCAAACAAAAAGGAAAAGUCAUGGACUAGAUCAUUAGACAAUACAUUUAUCUUACAGAAGAGAUCUUGCACAACACGGGGUGGUGGCGCAGUUGGCUAGCGCGUAGGUCUCAUAGCUAAGUACGUGAGUGAUCCUGAGGUCGAGAGUUCGAGCCUCUCUCACCCCAAAUCUUUUUUCUCUCUCCCACAACAUAUCAGUGGAAAAACACAUCUGCCCGAGUCAAACCACGCAGCAGCAAUACAAUAUUAAACACUUUCAGUGUUAAACAUGUAUUCGGCCAUCAGCAUUCUGUUCAAAGGGUUUUUUCACAAAUAAAAGUUACGAAAACCACGGAUCAAAAAGAUUGUGGAUCUUAGGGCCCCUUUGAUUUAAAGAACUUUCAUAAGAAUUUUGGAGAUUUUAAAUCCUGAAGAUUUCUUCCUGUAUGGGUUGUUUGAUUUGUUGGAUUGAAUCCCGGAGGAAAUUUCCCUAAGAAUUCCAUUCCAGUACACAUACAUCCAUAGGAAAGUUUCCAUCCAGUCCAUCCAAGCUCUUUUUUUAAGAUUCCUUUGUUUUUUUCUGUGCUCAAUCAAACAAACUUUGGUCCAAACAUUAUCCUGUAGGAUUCAAAUGGACAUGACAUUCCAAUCUUGUCAUUUUCCUAUUCCUAUGUUUUCUCCAUUCCGGAUCAAAGAGUUUCAUCCCACAGAUACUGUAUUGUAGUGAAAAGCUCAGGUAAACAAGCAUUUCUAUAUUACAUAUUUAUCUGAUGAUGUUUCUACCUGAAUCACUAGCUAGAUUACAGGCUGCCAUGUUCUUGAACUGGAACAGUUCUCCCUCUGUAAACCGGAAAACACUAGAAAGUUCCCCAUGUACAAAAAAUUGAAGAUAUCUGAAUCUGAAGUGUACCAUACGAGGGAUCCUGACUCAUAAAGAUCGAUCUUUAACUUCCCCCGGCCAGGGUUUGGACACCAUAUCAGGCCCUGCACCAGCGGGAUUCGAUCCAGUGUGUGUGGCUUGCCCACACACAAGAUCGAUCAACCAAGCUAAGCUUGAUUCCAAUGUAUCGAUCUUCCAUUUACUUGGGUUCCGCUACGGAGACCAGCGCUGAUUUGUGAAGGCCUUGAUACAAUCCAUGGUGGAUCUGACGCUGCUCGAGACACCCUUCCCCAGCUUGGGCAGAUCAACUCCUCCCGAAACCGGUGGGUUCUCCUGAUGAAACCUAAGAAGCUUCUGCCGAGAUUCUUUCCUCAUAGCUGCGACAUGGCUCACAUAACUGAUGGCAUCCCAUAGCAUACCUUUGAUGAUGGUCAAGGUGUAAAACCUCGCAGAUUCAAAAGGGGUAUUGCUGGCAAAACCUACAAAAAAUUUGGGGCAAAUCUGUUAUUCAAAGUAUCAUAAAACUGUAGCUUCAAGUGUUAACUGGGAGUAGCAAUUAGCUGCCAUAGGGACAUAGGGUUAUGGCAGAUAGGAAAAGAUGAGUUCAAUUGCUGUGUGUUUGCUGAAACAUAGCUCAGCUAAUUGAUGGGAAGAGAUCACAUGGACUGUCAAGUACUACCUCCAUUCCAUAAUUCUUGUCUCAAAUUUGCCUAAAAAUGGAUGUAUCUAUUACUAAAAUAUGUCUAGAUACAUGUAAUAUUUCGACAAGAAUUAUGGAACGGAGGGAGUAGUACUCAAGUUGAAGAGAUACAAUCAUACACUAGAGUUGGAAUCACCUAUGCAGGCAACUGAGAAUACAGAUAUAAUCAUCAUUAGAAUAUUAGAUUAGAGAUCCUACACUAGAGUUGGAAUCACCUAUGCAGGCAACUGAGAAUACAGUUUUAAACACUAAGGACUAGAUGGUUUUGCUCUUCAUCAGUUCAUUCCUUCAACUGAAGACACAAUGCCACAACAUUUGCAACUCUCCCAUAAAUAAGAAUCCAUAAUGUUCAGAAGCAAACACAGCAAGAUAACCUUGCUUGGUAAACACAACAUUCUUCUGUCCCAACCAGACAAGGCUAGCAGCAGUCAAUGGCAGUUAUUGCGCAAGAGAAGGGGAGAGCGUACGGUACCUCCAUGGUAGUGGUUCUUGAUGAUGCCGUGCUGCGGCAGGCCGACGCCGACGCCGGCGAGCGUGAAACCAACACUGAACCCCAAGCCGCAGCCGGCGCCGACGUAGCCGAUGACCUCGGGCCCGAACCCUGGCCCCCAGCCGACCCCGCAGCCGAGGCCCAGCCCGACGCCCCAGAAGGCGCCCGCCGUCGGGUGCACAGGGUUCCACCGCUCGUACCGCCCCAGCAUCCCCUUGAUGAUCAUCCUCGGCUGCACCGCCGGCGGCGGUGGUGCCGCGGUCUCCUCCGGCAACGGCGACGCGACCUCAAUCAAUCAAACAGAACAAAACGAAGGGAUAAGAAACAAAUCAGGAAAUCAACAGGAAGAACUUUUUGCUGUUGCUUCAAGACAGACAGAGAGAGUGGCGAGAAAUGGUACCGGUGUUCGCUGGGCAUUUGCCGCCGCGGGGGCGGCGGGGUUUGGAUCUGUUGGCGGCGGCGGCGGCGGCGAUUGGUGGGUUUGGGGCGGCGAGGGCAUGGGCAGCGUCGGCUGCUGUGGAGAAGAAGAAGAAGCAGCCUCUGGUUAAAAGUCUGGAAUUGGAAAGCCUUGAACAUGACUUCACAUUUUCAACGAUCUUAUCCUCAAAUCUGAUCCGGAUAUCCCAAAGAUCCAACCCAUCGCCAUCGUGGGCCACUUCGGGCCUGUUUGAGCCCAGCGUUUUUUUUAUUGGGCUUGAUUCGGCCUGGAUGGUAAUUACUCCCUCCAUUUCAUGAAGGUUGGCGUAUUUUGUUUCGUUAAGAUAAGGUUUUAAUCAAUGAAAACUCAAUUUAUAUGUGUUUUUUCAUACGUGAAAUUUAUAUCAAUAGAUUCGUCUUAAAAGUUCUUGGUAAUGAUCAUGAUUUCGUAUCAUAUAACUUACAUAUUAAUAUAUUAAUUCUUGGUUAAAGGUUUGUCCUAACGAAACAAAAUACGUCAACCUUUGUGAAAUGAAGAGGGUACUUUGUUGGGCUACAGUGACGCAUUCAGGCACAUGCAUCAGAAACAUUCUUCCUUGCUUUCAAAAAGAAAAAAAAUCUUCCUAAAAAUUACUCGUACAAAUAUUGACAGAGCAAACAUGUUUCUGAAACAACCCUAGAUACAAAAGAACCGACAGAGUGGUAUUGCUCAUUCAUGGAAAGGAAACACCAGUGGUUGAAAAGCACCGGUUAGCCCUCUGAUCAGUCUGUCAAUCCUUGAAGCUGCCUGGCUUGCCAAAAUCUGAGGCGCCGAAACCACCGGAGCUUCUGCCGAACCGGGAAGAGCCUGAGUCAUCACCACUCCUCGGGCGACGGAAAUCGGGGUUAUCAUUUCUGCCAAAAUUGCCUUCUCCAAAGUCGCUGAAUCCACCGGAGCGAUUGAAGCUAGACCUGCCAAAAGAGCCAUCCAACGGUCGAGAAGGUCGUCGAGAAUCUCCAAACCCGCCACGGGAUCUUGAGCCCGUGUCACGAGACCACCCAGCACCAUCAGGGGCACCACCAAAGCCGUCAGGAUCACCGAAGCCACGGGAAGAGCGUCCGCCGAAGCCACUGUAGCUUUCACGUCCGAAAAAGGAGCCGUCAGUUCUGGUUCCAGCUGAUCUAGAGCGGGGAUCUCUUGAAACGUUAAACAUGUCUGCAGCCUCAGCUGUACCUGAAAUCUUUGGAAGCUACACAUGGCAAAUACGAAUCAGCCAAUGAGUUUUUUAUAUUUCACAUCAGCCACAAGAUGACUUUAUCAGGGUUCAAUUAACCAUAGUUUACCUCUGUGAACCUGCAUCCAAUGUCUUGCUCAAUGACCCUUACAGCUCUACUUUGCUCAUAUGUGUACAUUAGAAUGGCAAUGCCUUUCUUCCCUGCUCGUGCAGUUCGCCCAGACCUGUGAACAAAUAACUCCGAGGAGUUUGGAAUUUCAUAAUGUACCACCUGAAAAGACAGGAGACCAUAACAUUUCCCAGUUAAGCUAAAUAUAUGCACAUCAAACAGCUAGAGCAAUCAUCUAGGAUGUGGAAGAGGUUCUUGAACUGCAUAGAACAUAUCUAGAGCUACUUACUAGAUCAACAUUGGGUAUGUCUAACCCACGGGCUGCGACAUCAGUUGCUACGAGAAUGUUAAAGCGACCCUCUCGAAAUCCUGACAGUGUCCUUUCUCUCUGAUUUUGUGUAAUAUCUCCAUGGAGCGCCUGACAUGCAUAACUCCUGCCCAUGGAGUAUGCCAAUCUAUCUGCUUCUCGUUUAGUUUGUGUAAAAACAAUGCAUUUCCCACCAUUAGCAUGCUCCUAAGGAAGUCAAAGGAAAAGUGUUAUGUUAAGUUGUUGACAAUGCAAACUAUAAAAGCAUACAGUCAGGAGAACGCUCACUUUAAUCAAUGUACCAAGAAUUGAUGACUUCCCAUAGUUCUCAGAUGCAAUUGAAUAAAGAGAGAUUCCUUCAGGUAAUUUCUGGUCCGACUCGCCAACCUGAGAAUAAAAAAGUGUGAAUACCCAGAUAAUCCCCCCCGCCCCCCCCUAAGAAUAUAACUCUGAUGCUCAACUGAAAAAGAAAAUACGACAAAUUCCAAGUUUUAAUUAUAUCGCUUCUCGAGAUGGUUGUUUACUUCUUUAUCAUGGUAGCACUUCAACGCCCUUAUGAAUUUUGCUUUAUGAUGUACUAUUGUCCACUCUACUCCCUCCAUUUCUGAUUAAUUGAUUAUAGGGCGUCUAAUGUUUGAGACCAAGGAAGGAAGAGGCUAGUGUGGCGCUCAUUAAAUUCUCCAUUAACUCUCACAAAAAAGUUCAUCUAGGCAGGAUUGCAUGCUUGCAUGCCCAAUCGCUAGGGUGGAGUAAUUGCAUCCAUGCUUUGCUUAGUGGCUAGAGUUUGUAUGGCCUGGGUGGACAAAUAGCACAAGGAGAUGAAAAGAGAUCAUGGAGUGAUUAAUUAGUCUAAGGAGAUAAUGCCUUGUACUGCAGAACAAAUCAAAAAGGUUGUACACCUUAUAACGUGGAACAGAGGGAGUACCUAGUAAGAUAAUACACAGGGAAAGGUUAAAAGGCCAUAGAGCUAAUAAUAAGAAGAAAAACACUCACAAGGUCAAUUAUGACUGGAUCUUUCAAGUAUUGGUUUGAAAGUUUUCUGAUCCAGCUAGGCAUUGUUGCAGAGAACAGCAUGCUUUGACGGUUUUGUGGCAGCUUCUCCAUGAUAACCUCAACGUCUUCAUCAAAACCCACAGCUAGCAUCUGAUCAGCUUCAUCCAGAACAACAAAUUGGAUCUCCGAAAGAUUUAAAUUUCCCCUUCUCAAAAGAUCAAUAAUUCGCCCAGGAGUCCCGACCACAACGUCAACGCCAUAAUUAAGAGUUCUCAUUUGCUGAUUGAUGGGAACACCUCCAUAGACACAGAGGGUGUCUAAGGGAGCAGAUUCUUUGAAUUCCUUCUCAACCUGUCGAGCGAGUUCUCUAGUAGGUGCCAAAAUGAUAGCUAAAGGGUUCCUACCAGUUCUGCAAGUACCAUACUAUGUAAUUAUUACAAUAAAUUGUAUCUUUCCGGUAGCUAGAUAAGAAUAAUUCAAAACUAGACAGAGAAACCAACCCAUUCUUCUCAUUGUGUCGAAGAAUCCUGUCCAUAAUAGGAAUGCCAAAAGCCAAGGUUUUUCCAGUUCCAGUUCGAGCACGACCAAUCAUAUCCUUCCCUUGCAUUGCUGGUUCAAGAACAGCCCUCUGCCAAGGCACAAGGUAAAAGCAUCACUUAACAAAAAUGUAACUAGGCUAGAAAAGUAACAUAAAGAAAAUUCAACAUAAUUGCAGAAAUAACAUUUUCCCAAUUUUGAUGAUGCAAACAAAUAGGUAUAUAUGUAUAUCUACUCACUGAAAUCCUAAUCUGGCAAAGUUAGCUAGUAAUGUCAAUAGUGUUCAUUAGCUCGCAGGGGGGCGUGCAUUGCUCUUUCUGUCAAACAACAAGGAAAACACUACGAAUGUUCUCUACUGGUGUCAGGAUAAUUAUCAUGAUUCAUGAGUCCAUACAAGUUCUCUAUUGGUGUCAUGAUAGUUAAACAAGUCAAAUUAGUGUGCUUUCUCUUAGUGAUAUCAAAAUUUUGGAGUAUUUUUCUAAUCCUUAUCCAAAACACUACAAAUGUAUGUUUUCUGGGGGUAAAAAUGCAGGCACUUGCGUAUGAUUAAAGUGUCACCAGAUAACCAUAUAGAACCAAAUGUUCCUGGCUAAAUUCUAACAGCACUUCGCGGUAAACAAUUUUCCAUUUCGUUUUUCUAAUAUUGCAAAGCCACAGGUACAAAUCAAAGAACUUAGGUCAGUCAGAAUCAAUAAGCCUUGUUCACGUCUCUUGCUAAAUUGGCGCAGCAGGCUCUCUCCAAUGAAUUUUAACUCAGAAGUUCCCAAGCAACUUUCCGGCCAUUUUGAUCCGGUUGAUGCCUACAGUUGAAUAGGGCUCCAAGUACCAGUGUAACGCAAUUGUAAAGCCAGGUUGAUUGUUUGCAUGACAGUAUCAUAUCAUAUGUAUCUCAAAUAGAGGUAAAGUCUGAGUUAUAUUUUGGCUUUUAUGGCUCGCACGAUCCUACAGCUGCAGAACCGGAAUCUCUCAUCUGGCCACAAGCAUUUCCUCGAAACAAAUUCUACUCGUUCCAACCUACAUAACCAUGCGCAGUCAAGGAAACCCACCUUUACGGUCCUGAGGCUUACAAACUGCAGUAGGCAAAAACUGGCGGUACCUGGAUGGGGAAGAGCCUGGUGAUGCCCCGCGCGGCGAGCCUCUCCACGAUCCGCGGCGAGAUCCCCAGCUUCGCGACCUCCAGGCCGUCCUCCCCGGCGCCGGCCUCCGUGACCGUGCCGGGACACGACGCAGGGGUGGUGGCCCUGAACCCCAGGGGUCUCGGCGAGGCGUGGAACGCCCGCCGCAUCGGCGGCGGCGGAACCGCAGCCCGGCAUGGGGAGUCGGGAGAGCUGGCAGGCGGGGGAGAGAGGAGGGCCACGCCGAGGAACGUUCUCCGCGGCUGCGCGGCAGACCGGGAGGCGGUGAGCGCGCGGCGGAGCAGCGAGUUCAUGGCGGCGGUUGAGAUGAGAGGGCGGAGCUUCUGGGUUGGAGUCGACCUGGGCUUGGGGGGUCAAAUGUGAGAGCAUUUUCUUUUUCUCGAGUUGGGCCGUGAAGUGGAUUGGUCUAGUCUGGGCUGGGCUGAAUACUGAGCCCACACGAAUUUCGCUCAAAAUUCAACAUUAAAAAAAGUUGUAAAUUCAACAUUUAGAUUCCACCCUGAGCCCAGUUUGAAUUCCACCGCAAGCACACGACUAAACAAUCUAAGAAAGCUCCCUCAAAAAAAAAAUCCCUCAAAAAAAAUAAUCUAAGAAAGCACCCCUAUGACUCUUCACCUACAUACCGAAUGAGUACAUUUUUGUCAUCAAACGGCAAUAAUCCUUCCUCAUGUCCUCCGGAAGAGCCGAAUAAAGAGCUCUGAACUUUAGCCGGUCCUCGUCGCAGGCAAGAACAGUAUACACUCUCCUCGUGUCAUCACAACAAGUCAUCAGGUGUUUUCGGAAGCGUAGUCGAUAAUGGUCCUUUUUUCUUCGAUAAGGUUGGCUUCAAAGAUGGUUUCGCCGGCGGCAUAAGGCCUCCAUGGGAGGUGUUGAAGUACUGGGAGACCUUGCUAGGUACGAAGGUGGGUUCCUCGUCCUUGUUCCCGUAGCUCCGUCCGCCUCGUGUCGACCUCGGCCAGCCACACCGCAUAGCACAGGGCGUCCGGGUCUUCGUCGUCUGGGCUCAACGGGGGGUCCGACGCCUUGAUGCGUGGCAAGACCACGUCAUAGCCGGCGAGGUACCAGAUGUCGCCGCAGUCGACGAGGCCGUCCUUGUGCCACACGUCAUGUCGUCCGUCCUCAGCGUCCACGUGGCGAUGGUGAAGGCCUGCUGGGAGAGCGCCUCAAGAGGACAGGCUUGACCGGCAGGGAGACGUAGCGCAGCUCGGGCGUCGGCUCCCGCCGCACGUCGCACAAGAUGACGCCGCGGCGGUAGUCGGCCCAGUACAUGAAUCGGUCGCCGACGGGGACGACGUCGUCGGUGUCCCAACAGGACAGCUCCUGCAGCUUGCCCUCGUCGUGGAGGCCCUUCCUUGUCAAGUUGUCAUUCUUGGCGCAGAUGUAAUCCAGCACCGCCACCACCGGCUGCUCCUCGUCGGCGCCGCGGCCCCGCAGGAGCGUCGUGGACUUCAUCGCCAUUGAACAGGGAUAGCAGCACCCCUUGUAUUCCCAGGAGGAGAGGAUCGAAAGGGGGAAGCAGCGCCCGCGAUGGCGACGGCCGUGACGAGUCGCCGCCGGCGCUGUAGACGAAGUGGUCCGACGUGCGCCUCUUGUCGUCGGCCGCGUCCCAGGUGUUGAUCCUGAGGAGGAAGGAGUCCCGGUGGGUCGCGAGGACGAGCGUUGAGAUCCUGCUCCCGUCCGAGACGCCGGGGAUGUCGGCGCGCAGGCGGGACAGGGCCGGCGGCGGGGCGAAGGCGAAGGAGACGCGGAUGGGGCGGCCGUCGGAGAUGCGGGAGCAGGCGGCGGUCUUGGGGUCGGGGUCCAGAUCGCAGCGGGCGGACUCCUCGAGCAGGACCCAGCCAGGGUACGCGACGGCCGCCGGCGGUGGUGGAGGAUCGCGGUCCUCGGGUAGGGUUUCCAUGUCGAUCCGUUGGCUUGGUGAUGGAUCCAUGGCUGGAUCGGCGGUCGGUUUUAUUUGCAUUGGUAGAAUUAACCGUGUAUACGUAUAUUAUACGUAUGGGUCCUAGCUCGAUCACCAGGCCCCACACAGGUAAUUAAAAAAUGAUGCCAAGAAAGGAAAAUCACAAGUAUCUGGGAAAAAAAAUCCAACCGGGGAAUUCACCCCGUCACGGCGUCAUUGCCUUUGGCUCACCGGCGUACGCCCGUGGGAGAAGGUGUUGAGGAGGUACCUGGAGACCGGGCAGAAGCUGUCGGAGGAAUAGUAGUCGUCCUUGCGGGAGAUAUCAUGACAGAAAAUAUAUUGUGUGCUUGCAAAUUGAGAUCCGGACAAAAACUUACUCGCGUUCCAAUAAGCAUCGUUGAUUUAAUACAUUUUUAAUACAGAGUAUAACUUUUUACUAAAUGAGCAACACUUAUUAUAAAUCCGUGGGAGUAUAAGAUUCCUAUCCGAAAGCCAGCGUGAACUUCACCGGAAGUGCACAACCAAGAAUGAGAGAUAGUUUUCUUUUGCAAAGAUCACACAUAUGCCUGUACAUCGAAGCAGUACAUUUUUGUCAUCAAAUGGCAAUAAUCCUUCAUCAUGUCCUCCGGAAGCGCCGAAUAAAUAGCUCUGGACUUUAACCGGUCCUCGUCGCACGCAAGAACACGAUAAGCUCUCCUCACGUCAUCAUCACACAACAAGUCAGGCGUUUCUUCUGAAAGCAUCAUCGCUGCCGGUACUUCCUCCCGUAAGGUUGGCGUCGACGAUGGUUUCCACGGCGCUUCGAAAAUGUCUUGUUCACGCGUCCGCCGUUCUCCCUUGGACAUACAGCCGCCAUGGGAGGUGUUGAAGUAUUGGGAGACCUUGCUAGGCACAAAGAGGGGGGCGUCACGAUGGUCGUCCCCGUAGCGGAAGAUGGACCGCAGCUCCAUUCUCCUCAUGUCGACCUCGACCAGGCACGCCACAUGGUGGUGUUCGACCAUGAAGCACAGGGUGUCCAGACUCACGGUGGGGUACGACGGCGGUUGGACGCGUGGGACGACGUCGACGUCGUAGCUGGUGAGGGACCAGAGGUCGUCGCAGUCGACCAGGCCGUCCUUGUGCCACGUCAUGUCGUUCGUCCUCAGCGUCCAAAUGGCAAUGGCGACCAGAGGAUACGCCUCAACGAACCUCACCGUGCCACCGUUGGCGCACACGCGCUGGUACCGCGACAUGUCCCUGUCGUCGAGGUCACGCUUCACCGGCAGGGAGACAUAACGCAGCUCGGGCGCCGGCUCCCGCCGCACGUCGGAGAAGAUGAUCCCGCGGCUGUAGUCGACCCAGCACAGGAACCGGUCGCCGACGGGGACGACGGCGUCGGUCUCCCAAGAGAGCAGCUCCGGCCGCUUGCCCUCGUCGUGGAGGACCGGCAGCCGCUUGAGCUCCCACUCGCCCGGCAACCGCUUGAGACCCCGGUCGCCGGAGCGGAGGCGGAGCAGGCAUAGGUCGGCCCCCACCGCCCCUUCCUCGUCUCCGUCUUCAUCGUUCACAUAAUCCAGCACCGCCACCAGCGGCUCCCCGUCAGCGCGGCAUUGCAGAAGCGCCGUGGCAUACAAAUCCAUGUAGAUGCGCCCGCAUUGCGGGACGGGGCAGAAAGGGGGCAGCAGAGAAAGCGACGGCGGCCGCGAAAAGUCGGCGUCGCCGGCGCUGUAGACGAAGUAGUCCGACGUGAAUCCGUGCUUAUAGUUUCUGUUGGAGAAUACAAUGCAAGCUUCUAGAGUGUUCUCAAUAUUACAAGAAAGAAGACGUUACUAUGAAAUACUCUAGAAUAUAAAAUAAAUAAAAGAGAUAACCUUUUAGUGUUUAGAUAUGCAUGAAGAAUUAUGUAGAAGUUUUGGAAUACUCUAGAAUAAGAGUUUAAAAUAAAUAAAUAGGAAACCUUCUAGUACCUAGAUAUUUAUGUAGAAGUGUGUGAAAGGCUUUAGAUAUUUUGUAUCAAUGGCUAAGAUUUUGACACAUGUCAAAGAUUCAAUGGCCAUGUAGUCCUAUAAAUAGAGGCCCUUGCCUCACACCUUGUGUAGUAGAAAAUAAGAAAGUGAAGAAGGUGGAGAACAAGGUGUGAGCAAGUGUAAAGUGUGUAUGCUCUCUCUUGUACUAAUAUUCCUAAAGCAAUAUAGUACUACUUUGUUCAUAUAAGUCUCCCGGUUAGGCCUUAUUAUUUCUAAGUACUUAGUGCAUAUAAGUUGUGAUUUAACGUGAGCGGAUUCGCGCGGAAUCACAACGGUCUUGUUUCAACGUGAGUGGCAUAGCCGCCCGGAUUUAAGACUUGCUUUAACGUGAGUGGCUCUGCCGCCCGGAAGCUUGCACUAAGUAAGUAGAAAUAAAAAGGGACUAAUCAACUACACCAAAAUAGUUGGUAUAGGUGAAUAGACCCUCUCGUAGUGUGUUAGGUCCACCUCGAAUUCUCUUCAGUUCCUGGUUUCGAUCCCGAGGAGGACGGAGUCCCCGUGGGCGGCGAUGACGAGCGUGGAGAUCUUGCUGGUCAUGCCGUUGUCCGCGCAGCCGGGGAUGUCGGCGCGCAGGCGGGACGCGGCCGGCGGCGGCGCGAGCCGAAGGACACGCGGGUGGGUCGGCCGUCCGAGAUGCGGGCGUGCGCGGCGGUCCUAGCGUCGGGAUCCGAGCAGAACCUAUUCUUAAAAAGCGUCUAGAUACAUAUAACAUUUCGACAACAAUUUAGUACAAGAUUGCCGUCAGACAACUUCAGAACCAGAUCGAGUUUCACUGCGGCAAGUGCACAACUGAAAAAUGAUACUGCUACCAAUUAAGUGUAUUAAACAUGUGUAAGUUUGUAGAUUUACCACUCCCUCCAAACGAUCACGUAUUGGAACGAUAGCACAUAUUUUUGAUCAAGAGGCAACAAUCCUUGCGCAUGUUGAUCGGAAGGGCCGAAUAAAGAGACGUGAACUUUAAACGGUUCUCGUCGGACCCAAGAAUGCUGUAUACUCUCAGCUUGUCAACAUGUGCCAAUUCGGGCAUCUCUUGAGGUCUCGCAAGGUCGGUUUCUUUGGCGCUCCAAGAAUAUCAUCUUUCUUCACGGGGCCACUGUCCUUGGCUUGCCGGCGUCCCACGGACGGACAAGGUGUUAAAAUACUGCGAGACCGCACAGGAGAGGAAGCUGCCGGUGUAAAGGUACUCGAAGCCGUAGCGGGAGACGGACCGCAGCUCCAUCCGCCUCGUGUCGACCUCGAUUAGGCGCACCAAACGGUCACCGUCGACGUCCUCCCUAUGGUAUUUUCUCUUGUGCACCACUAAGCAGAGGACGUCGGGGUCGUCCAGGCUCACCGUGGGGUACUCCGGCUUGACGCGCGGGAUGACGCCGGCGUAGCCUGGGAGGGACCAGAGCUCCUCGGAGUCAAACCACACGGGCCUUGUCCCAUGUCAUGCCGUUCAUGUCAAGCGUCCACAUGGUGAUGGUGAAGGCGUGGUGGGAGCGCGCGCAGUCGGUGGUCCCCGGGCCGCCGCCGCAGCAGCGCGCGGGGGAAGACCUCGACGAACAUCACCAUGCCGCCGCCGCCUGUGGCGCACACACUCCGGUAGCUUGACCCGCCGCGUCCGUCCCUGUAGUACGUGGUGAGGUCGGGCUUCACGGGAAGAGAAACAUACCGCAGCUCGGGGGACUCCCGCGACACGUCGGAGAAGAUGACCCCGCGGAAGUAGUCGACCCAGCAGAGGAAUCUGUCGCCGACGGGGGCGGCCGCAUCGGUCACCCAACAAGACAGCUCCCGCCGCUUGCCCUUGUCGUGGAGCACCGGCAGCCGCUUGAGCUCCCAGCCGCCGGAGCGGCGGAGAAGACAGAGCUCAGCCUCCAGUACCGGCCCUUCCUCCUUUGUUCCUCCCGUCGUCGUCGUGCCCAAAACGGGCAUCGAGCGCCGCCACAACCGUCUCGUCGUCUUCUUGGCGGCGCAGGAGCGUCAUGCCGGGUAAACCCAUGAAGCGUUCCCUCGGCCUCCGCCUCCCCUCCUCUUGCUUGGUGAGGUAGCAAGGGGGCAGCCGCGACAGCGACGGCGGCCGAGCGGGCGCGUCGCCGGCGCUGUAGACGAAGUAGUCGACCGUGCAUCUCUCGUCGAAGAUGACGGUGGUGUAGUCCUCGGUUUGGAUCUGGACGAGGACGGAGUCGCCGUGGGCCGCGAUGACGAACGGGUGCAGCUCGAUGCCGCCGCCACGGCCGGGGAAGUCGAAGCGCGGCCGCGACACCGCGGGCGGCGGGGGGAAGGCGAAGGAGAUCCGGAAGGGGUGGCCGGUGGAGGUGUGGGUGUACGCCACGGUCCUGGCGUCGGGAUCCUGGCACCACAUGGACUGCUCCAGCAGAACCCAUCGCGGGUACGCGGCGGCAGGCGGCGAAGGGUCGCCAUGGGAUGGUAGUAGUAGUUCCCGGUGAUCCAUGGCGCGCACCUUGGAUUCGUUGGUGACACAUAUAUUCGUUGGUGGCAUGUAGAAAGAUGGUUCAGAUGUAACCGCACAAUGCUGGCAUGAGGAAGACAUAUCACACACUUAUUUACUCCCUCCGUUUUAAAAUUUCAAUUAAAAAUGUCACCCGCAUGUACUCCCUCCGUUUCACUGUCGCCGGCGUCUUCUGGCUCCGACCGCCGACUUCCCGGCUGCUAUGUCAACAAUGGUUUCCUGGCUCUGACGUGGUUCGGAGGUCUAGAGGCAGCAUCGAGCUUCGCUUAUGGCGCUCCAUCGGUGAGUCCAGGCCGGACGAAAACAACAACGUUUACCUACAAGAACUUGCGUGUAAUUUUUUAUUUUAUUUUAAAGAUACAUAAUAAUUUUUUAUUUUAUUUUAAAGAUGCAUGGUUAUGUAAGGGUUGGUUGAUUUCAAUAUAUGACCUUGGUGUACUGCAUAGAAACAACAUUUGUUGCCAUGUCAUAAAAUUUCAAUUCGAAAUUAGACUCAUAACUUGAGAAACAAAAAAAACGUAUCAUACAAUUAGUAGUAGCUAAUUCAAAAUGGGCUGUGAAUUCAGCCCGUUUAUAGCACUACAUAUAGCUGAAUCUAUUAUUUUUGUUUCUCAAGAGUAUGAAUUUAGAAAUUUCCGUGACCUGGUUGUAUAUCGUGCCCAUACUGUAAAAAAGUUUGGGAUUUUUUUUUCUUCUAUUUUGGAAGACUUUUCUUGAACUCGGGUGCAUCAGUUGCACUUUGCACCACAAACCGGGAGGUAACCAAUGCAGAUGUUUUUUGCAGAUUAAGUUUGUUUGUACGGUUCAAUUUGAGCAAGCAAAAUGCACCGAAGAGAAAAUAAAACGUUUUGAGGAAAAAAAAAUGUUUUUAAAGAAGAAACAAAAUAAGGAGAAGAAUAUUGGACCAGCCAGCCACAGGCCCACAUCUAGCCCAGCUAACUAGCGUACAAACUAAAAAGCCCACAUUCGAGCUCAGCCGCUGCGUUCUUCUUCCGCCGCCACUCCUCCGUUCCCCCCGAGUUCUCGAUCUCUUCUCUCUCCUAGUUCAAACUCGCUGCCCUCCUGAUUGAUGGAGCAGCCAAUUCAAGGAUUCGAACACCAACGAAUGGAAUCCGCCGAGCGCGACAUGGAAACCCGAGCGGGUCAUGGCCAAGAGGCAUCUGGCGAGUACCCUAGCUGGGUGUUGCUCGAGACCUCCAGGCGCUGCGAGUCCGCCGCCGCGGCGCCGGAGACGGCGGCGGAAGCUCUCACCUCUAAGGGCCGCCCCGUCCUGGUCUCCUUCAACCUCGCGCCGCCGCCCGCGUUCUCCCGCCUCCACAUCAACGGCUUGCCGUUGCCGGACGACGAGUUCCGGUUCGACACGAAGAUCCUCGCGGCCCACGGCGACUCCGUCCUCGUCCAAGUCUCCGAUUACGGCGAGACGCCGGACUACUUCGUCUACAACGCCGGCGACGCGCCCACCCGCCCGCCGUCGCUGUCUCUGCUGCCCGCUUGCUACCUGCCCCAUCAGACCUGCGGGCGGGCCCGCAGCUUCUUCGCGGACACCGUCGCCAUCCUGCGCCGCGGCGACGAGGAGCUUGCGGUGGUAGUGGCCGGAAAGGGGGGUUUCUUUUCUAAGGACCUGGAGGAGGGGGGAGCGCCCGUGCAGGCCCACCUCUUGCUGCUCCGCUCCGGCGAGCACUGGGAGCCGGAGUGGGAGAUCAGGUGGGCGCCGGUCUGGCACGACGAGAUCAAGCGUUUGGAGCUGCUCCACUGUUGGAUGACCGAUGCCGUCGUCCCCGUCGGCGACCGGUUCCUGUGCUGGGUCAAUUACCUCUGCGGCGUCAUCUUCGCCGACGUGUGGAAUGAGACGCCCGAGCUGCGGCACGUGCGACUACCUGUGGAUCCCGAACGCGGGAGACGCAAUAACCCUGCUUCGUUCUACAGGGCCGUGUGCGCCGCCGGCGACGACGAGGUCAGGUUCGUCCAUGUCUCCCCCCCGCUGCUGCUGCGGCUGCCCGGGCGCCACCGCGUGCGCGCGCUCCCGCCGUGCCUUCACCAUCACCACGUGGACGCUCUGGAUGGACAGCGUGGUCGACAGCUGCGACGUGGUGACGUGGGAGAAGGUCGCCAUGGUCGACUGCGACGACAUCUGGUCCCUCGCCGCCGGUGACGUCCCGCGUGUCAGGCCGGAGUUCCCCAUGGUGAGCCUGGACGACCCAGACGUGCUUUGCUUCAUGAUGCGCAGGAACCCAUUCCAUGACGACGCCGACGUCGACGGGGACCUUGCAAUACGGCUGGUCGAGAUCGACACGAGGCGCAUGGAGCUGCGGUCCGUGUUCCGCUACGACAUGAAGAUGACAGCUUUACCUACGACAGCUAUCCCCCAACCUUUCUUCCCGGUGUGGUCUCCAAGUACUUCAACGUUUACUCUUCCCGUCAUACGGCGGCAAAGGCAAGCCAAAGGCGGAGGCAUCAACGAGACAUCCUUGAAGCACCGGCGAAACCAUUAUUGGAACCGACAUCACUAGAGGCGGCGGCGGCGAUGGCUUCCCCGGAAUAGAUGUUGGUGACGCUUCGGGAGAUACCUGGCUUGGCGUCUAGUGAUAGGCUGAGAGCCUACGGCGUUCUCGCGUGUGAUGAGAGCCGUCAGUUCAGGUACAGGUCUCUUUUGGCCCUUCCGAUGGAGAUGAGGAAGGAUUACUGCCUCGUGAUUGCCAAAUUAUCUUGCUUCAAUAUAUAGUUGCUUUUGUCUAUGGUCACAUGCAUGCUCUACAUCUUUCGAAGGAAGAAAUUACAUGAUUGAAUGAUCCACACUUGGUGUCAUUUUCAGAAAUAUGCUCAUCUUGCAGUGAAGUUCAAACAAGAGAGGAGCUUUUUUAGAAAACUGGGUACAGAUAUAUAGCAUGACGGAUUUAAUAAAACUAAUUUAGCGUGCUAGUUUGUUGGUAAUUCUUUUCUUCUUUAAAGUAGAUCAACUUUUAAUUAUUGACUUAGAAGAAAGCUUAGACCAUCUGGGAACAAAGGGAGAUACAUUGAAGCUUUUUGGUUGGAAGAACUCCUCUCCUGAGGUAUAAGGUGUUAUGGACAUGCGCGAUUAGAUCGUUGCAAAAAGUUGGCGAGAACCGAUAUUCGUUGACGAGGUUUAACAUCGACGCCUGCAUCCUUGGAGCAUGUUUAACGGGUGCUCCUGCCAUGGACGGCGGGCCAUCUCCUUGCAUUCUCAUGUAUAGCCUAUCAGCGUCUUUGCAAUCUCACAUAUAUCAAUCCUACCAGCUUCCUUUAUUCUAUUGUGCCUACGACGACACCUUUAUAUAUUAGAUAAAUUUUGCAAGUGUUCGAUUCGAACACCUAACGUACCACGUACACGUACGUAAUUGAAGUCCAACUUUAAUCUAUAUAUACAUAUAUAUUCGACACAAAUUUAACACAAGGUUUGGUGGAUUGGACUGCUUUUGCUGCAGGAUGAUAAAACUCUAAUUGUGCAGAACAAAAGACGUGAAAGCAGGCCAGAGAAUAAAUACAAACCGCCACGGCCACCUCCCCCUGUUGU